CUCUGUGCCUGGAAGGGACCCGCCGCCAUCUCAGGUCUCGGCCUCGUCGGGCCCACUAGAGAAAGCUGACGCCCAGUCCUAUAAUCCUUAUGGGCGACCAACCUUGUGCCUCCGGGAGAUCCACGCUCCCACCUGGAAAUACCCGGGAAACCAGGCCUCCAAAAAAGCGCUGCCUCCUAGCUCCACGGUGGGAUUAUCCAGAAGGAACCCCCAACGGAGGUAGUAACCCUCUUCCCUCCGCACCUUCUCCUGCAUCACCGGGCCUGAAAUCGCACCCUCCUCCUCCGGAGAAGUAGUAGAAUAUACUUAUCCCACCCCAAACCAGUCUUUGAGGGAUUGCAGAAUGACUCCAUUUCCUUGGUGCAUUCAUAAAAUGGUUCAUCUAGUGAAGACAAUGAAGAUUAUUGACACCGCUGCCCUGCUUUUUCUGAUGUCCUGCACCAGAGAGAGAGAGCACGCGAGCGGGAGGGGCAGAGAGAAAGGGAGAGAAUUUUAAGCAGGCUCCAUGCUCAACACAGAGCCCAGUGCAGGGCUCAAUCUCCUGACCCUGAGAUCAUGACCUCAGCCGAACUCAAGAGUUGGGACGCUUAACCGACUGAGCCAACCAGGUGACCACUGUGUGGCUUACAGCACUGAUGGGCAGGAUGAAAAUGGUGGCGCCCUGAUGUCUAGCCUUGGAGCUGAAUGUUCAAGCCCCCCACUCUUCAGUGAACCUUCAAAGAAGAACAGUCAACCACUCUUCUGAUGUCUCCAGUUUCCGUCAGAACCCUGUGUUCACCCCACCUGUGUCCAAGUUUUUUCAUGUCAGAAUAUGUUCUGCAAAAAAAAAAAAUACAGUGAAUGCAUUGAUUUAUUUGUGAAUUUACCAGCAGAAUUUAUAAUUAGCAGUGAGGAUAAGCUUUAUAUAUGAAAACAUUAUUUUUCUUCGGGUUUUUUUUAUUUUAUAAAAUUUCAACUCUACAGAAAAGUCAAAAGACAUCCUUCAUUUAGAUCCAUCCAUUUUUUAUUUUGCUACAUAUAAUUUCUUUCUUUAUAAAUGUAUACAUGUUUUUAUGUUAUGUAUUAAUAUUAUAUGUUAUUAUAUAUAAUUAUAAUAAUAUGUAUGUAUUGCUGAACCAUUUGGAAGUAACCUGCAGAUAUUAUGACACUUCAGCCUUGAACACUUCACUUCAUUAUUUCUCAAGAACAAGGGCAUUACUUCCAUCACAUUCAGAGAAAUUUAACACUGAUACAAUUCUGUUAUCUAACAUACUGUCCCAAAGUUUCAAAAUUGUCUUGACAGUAUCUUUCAAAGUUUUUUAUUUGUUUUGUUACAGGAUCCAGUCAAGGAUCAUGCACUGUAUUUAGUUGUAAUGCCCCUUUAAACUUUUUAAAUCUAGAAUAGCAUCACCUCAUCCCUUCUUAAAAUUUUUUCAAAAUAUUGGCAGUUCUCAUGAGUCCAGGCAGUUGUCCUGCAUAUGUGCCACAAUUUGAGCUUGUCUGUUUCUCCAUGAUUAAUUUAAGCAUUUUUAGCAAAAAGACUACAUAGGUGAUGCUGUGUCCUUGCAUCACAUCAGGAAGCACAGACUGGUUUAUCCCAUUCAUUAUUGAUAAUGCUAAGUUUGUUUCACCCUUUUUAAAGAUUUUUUUAAGAGCAGUUUUACAUUCACAGCAAAUUUGAGAAGAACACAUAGAGAUUUCUUAUAUAUCCCUUACACCUACACAUGCAUAGCCUUCCCUGUUAAUGAACAUUCCCUACCAGAGUGGUACAUUUGUCACAAUUAAUGAACCUAUACUGACAUACAAUAAUCACCCAAAGUCCAUAGUUACAUUAUUUCACUCUUGGUGUUAAACAUUCUUUGGGCUUGGAAAAAUGAAUAAUGACAUGUAAUCUCAUUAUAGUGUCAUAUAGAGUAUUUUCACUGCCUCAGAAGGCUUCUGUGUUCUUCCUAUUCACCCCUUCCUCCAUGCCUCUGGCAACCACUGAUCAUUUUACUGUGUUCAUAGUUUUACCUUUACCAGAACAUGAAUAAUUGGAAUCGUAAGGUAUAUGGCCUUUCAGAUUGGCUUAUGUCCAUUAGUAAUAUGCAUUUAAGGUUUCUCCAUGUCUUUUCAUGGUUUGAUACCUCAUUUCAUUUCAGAAUAACAUUCCAUUGUUUGAAUGUAGCAGUUUAUUUAUCCAUUCACCUACUGAAGGACACUUGGUUGCAUCUAAGAUUUGGCAAUUAUGAAUAAAGUUCUAUACACAUCUACCUGCAAAUUUUUGUGUAGACAUGUUUUCAACUCCUUUGGAUAAAUAUCAGGAAAUACCAUUGCUUGUAUUUUUAUUUUUUAUAUUUAUACUUAAUAUACUUAUAUGCAUAUAUGUGUACAUACAUUUUUUUAAACCAUUGGACAAUAAGUUGCCUCAUGAAUCCUAUGUAAUUCAGUAUGUGUUUCCUAAAACCAUAUUCUUUUUUCACCAAUUAUACCAUUAAGUGCGAUUUAUUAAAAAAAAUAAAAGAAUUUGGUCCAGGAUCCAAUCCCUAAUCAUGUUGUCUUGAGCUAUUAUGUUUGUUUAGUUUGCUUCAAUUGCAGUAGUUUCUUAGACUUUGUGUAAAAAAAUAGUUUUGAAGAUGAUAACAGUCAUUUUAUAGAAUGUCCUGGAAUUUCAGUUUUUGUGAUGUUUCUUCAUGAUUAUAUUCAGAUUAUGCGUUUUGUCAAGGAAUAUCACUGAAAUGAUGUUUGGUUCUCAGUGUAUUGUGUCAGGAGGCACAUGGUGUCAUUUUGUUCUAUAACUUUAACUUUUAAUUUUUUGUUACUGAGUUUUGUUCAGGAGAUUGAAGAAUGUAAGGCUUUGCCCUAUGCUGAUGUCAUAGAUAGCUAGGCAGGUACUUUUCUCUUUUCCCUUAGGAAGCAGUAACUUUUUCUUUCUUUCUCUUUUUUUUUUUUAAUUUUAUUAUGUUAUGUUAGUCACCAUACAAUACAUCAUUAGUUUUUGAUGUAGUGAUCCACAAUCCAUUGUUUUCGUAUAACACCCAGUGCUCCAUGCAGUACGUGCCCUCCUUAAUACCCAUCACUGGGCUAACCAAUCCCCCCUCCCCCCUCCCCUCUAAAACCCUGUUUGUUUCUCAGGUCCAUUGUCUCUCAUGGUUCAUCUCUCCCUCCAAUUCCCCCCGCCCAUUUUUCCCUUCCUUCUCCUAAUGUCCUCCAUGUUAUUCCUUAUGUUCCACAAAUAAGUGAAACCAUAUGAUAAUUGACUUUCUCUGCUUGACUUAUUUCACUUAGCAUAAUCUCCUCCAGUCCCAUCCAUGUUGAUGUAAAUUUGGGUAUUCAUCUUUUCUGAUGGCUGAGUAAUAUUCCAUUGUAUAUAUGGACCACAUCUUCUUUCUCCAUUCGUCUGUUGAAGGGCAUCUCGGCUCUUUCCACAGUUUGGCUAUGCGGACAUGGCUGCUAUGAACAUUGGGGUGCAUAUGGCCCUUCUUUUCACUACAUCUGUGUCUUUGGGGUAAAUACCCAGGAGUGCAAUUGCUGGGUCAUAGGGUAGCUCUAUUUUUAAUUUUUUGAGGCACCUCCACACUGUAUUCUAAACUGGCUGUACCAACUUGCAUUCCCACCAAGAGUGUAAGAGGGUUCCCCUUUCUCCACAACCUCUCCAACAUUUGUUGUUUCUUUCCCUGUCCAUUUUGGCCAUUCUAACUGGUGUAAGGUGGUAUCUCAGUGUGGUUUUGAUUUGGAUUUCCCUGAUGGCUAAUGAUGAUGAACAUUUUUUCAUGUGUCUGUUAGCCAUUUGUAUGUCUUCUUCAGAGAAGUGUCUUUUCAUAUCUUCUGCCCACUUUUUGACUUGAUUAUUUGUUUUUUGGGUGUUGAGUUUGAGAAGUUCUUUAUAGAUCUUGGAUACCAGCCCUUUAUCUGUAGUGUCAUUUGCAAAUAUCUUCUCCCAUUCUGUGGGUUGCCUCUUUGUUUUGUUGACUGUUUCCUUUGCUGUGCAGAAGCUUUUGAUCUGGAUGAAGUCCCAAAAGUUCAUUUUUGCUUUUGUUUCACUAGCUUUUGGAGAUGUAUCUUGAAAGACGUUGCUGUGGCCGAUGUCAAAGAGGUUACUGCCUAUGUUCUCCUCUAGGAUUUGGAUGGAUUCCUGUCUCACAUUGAGGUCUUUCAUCCACUUUGAGUUUAUCUUUGUGAAUGCUGUUAGAGAAUGGUCGAGUUUCAUUCUUCUGCAUGUGGCUGUCCAAUUUUCCCAGCACCAUUUAUCGAAGAGACUGUCUUUUCCAUUGCAUGUUCUUUCCUGCUUUGUCAAAGAUUAUUUGACCAUAGAGUUGAGGGUCCAUAUCUGGGUUCUCUAUUCUGUUCCAUUUGUCUGUAUGUCUGUUUUUGUGCCAGUACCAUGCUCUCUUGGUGAUCACAGCUUUGUAAUAUAGCUUGAAAUCAGGCAAUGUGAUGCCCCCAGCUUUGUUUUUCUUUUUCAACAUCUCCUUGGCGAUUCGGGGUCUUUUCUGAUUCCAUACAAAUUUUAGGAUUGUUUGUUCCAGGACUUUGAAAAAUGUCAUUGGAAUUUUGAUCGGGAUGGCAUUGAAGGUAUAGAUUGCUUUGGGUAGCAUAGACAUUUUAACAAUGUUUAUUCUUCCGAUCCAUGCACAUGGAAUAUUUUUCCAUCUUUUUGUGUCUUCUUCCAAUUCUUUCAUGAGUGUUUUGUAGUUCCUAGAGUAUAGAUCCUUUACCUCUUUGGUUAGGUUUAUUCCGAGGUAUCUUAUGGUUUUUGGUGCUAUUGUAAAUGGAAUCGUUUCUUUAAUUUCUCUUUCUACAGUUGCAUUGUUAGUGUAUAAGAAAGCAACUAAUUUCUGUGCAUUGAUUUUGUAUCCUGCCACAUUACUGAAUUGCUGGAUGAGUUCUAGUAAUUUGGGGGUGGAGUCUUUUGGGUUUUCCACAUAAAGUAUCAUGUUGUCUGCAAAAAGAGAGAGUUUGACUUCUUCUUUGCCAAUUUGAAUACCUUUUAUUUCUUUUUGUUGUCUGAUUGCUGUUGCUAGGCCUAUGUUGAACAACAGUGGUGAGAGUGGGCACCCUUGACAUGUUCCUGACCUGAAGGGAAAGGCUCUCAGCUUUUCCCCAUUGAGGAUGAUAUUCGCUGUGGUUUUUUCAUAGAUGGAUUUUAUGAGCUUGAAGAAGUUCCCUCUAUCGCUAUACUCUGGAGAGUUUUAAUCAGGAAAGGAUGUUCUAUUUUGUCACAUGCUUUUUCUGCAUCAAUUGAGAGGACCAUAUGGUGCUUCUCUCUCCUCUUAUUAAUGUGUUCUAUCACAUUGAUUGAUUUGCGAAAGUUGAACCACCUUUGCAUCCCGGGGAUAAAUCCCACUUGGUCGUGGUGGAUGAUCCUUUGAAUGUAUUGUUGGAUCCUAUUAGCUAGGAUUUUGUGGAGGAAUUUGGAAUCCAUAUUCAUCAGGGAUAUUGGUCUGAAAUUCUCCUUUUUGAUGGGGUCUUUGCCUGGUUUGGGGAUUAAGGUAAUGCUGGCCUCAUAGAAUGAGUUUGGAAGUUUUCCUUCUGUUUCUAUUUUUUGAAACAGCUUCAGUAGAAUAGGUAUUAUUUCUUCUUUGAAUGUUUUGUAGAAUUCCCCAGGGAAUCCAUCAGGCCCUGGACUCUUGUUUUUUGGGAGGUUUUGGAUCACUGCUUCAACCGCGUUACUGGUUAUUGGUCUAUUCAGGUUGUCAAUUUCUUCCUGUUUCAGUCUUGGCACCUUAUAGGUUUCCAGGAAGGCCUCCAUUUCAUCCAGAUUGCUCAAUUUAUUGGCAUAUAGUUGUUGAUAUUAAUUUCUAAUAAUUGUUUCUAUUUCCUUGGUGUUAGUUGUGAUCUCUCCCCUUUCAUUCAUCAUUUUAUUAAUUUGUGUCCUUUCUUUUUUCUUUUGGAUAAGUCUGGCCAGUGGUUUAUCAAUCUCAUUAAUUCUUUCAAAGAACCAACUUCUAGUUUCAUUGAUCUGAUCUACUGUGUUUCUGGUUUCUAAUUCAUUGAUUUCUGCUCUAAUUUUAAUUAUUUCUCUUCUAAUGCGUGGCUUAGGGGUCAUUUGUUGCUUUUUCUCCAGUUCUUCAAGGUGUAGAGUUAGUUGGUGAAUUCGGGAUUUUUCUAUUUUUUUGAGUGAGGCUUGGAUGGCUAUGUAUUUCCCCCUUAGGACUGCCUUUGCAGUAUCCCAUAGGUGUUGGACUGAUGUGUUUUCGUUCUCUUUGAUUUCCAUGAAUUGUUUAAGUUCUUCCUUGAUUUCUUGGUUGACCCAAACAUUCUUGAGCAGAGUGGUCUUUAGCUUCCAAGUGUUUGAAUUUCUGCCAAAUUUUUUCUUGUGGUUGAGUUCCAGUUUUAGAGUAUUGUGGUCUAAGAAUAUGCAGGCAAUAAUCUCAAUCUUUUGGUAUCGGUUGAGACCUGAUUUGUGACCCAGUAUAUGGUCUAUUCUGGAGAAAGUUCCAUGUGCACUCGAGAAGAAUGAGUAUUCUGUUGUUUUAGGGUGGAAUGUUCUGUAGAUAUCUAUGAAGUCCAUCUGGUCCAGUAUAUCAUUCAAAGCUCUUGUUUCCUUGUUGAUUUUCUGCUUAGAGGAUCUGUCCAUUGCUGAGAGUGGAGUAUUGAGGUCUCCUACAAUUAACGUCUUGUUAUCAAUAUGACUCUUUCUUUUCUUUUUUUUUUUUUUUUAAGAUUUUAUUUAUUUUUUUGACAGAGAGAGACGUAGCGAGCGCAGGAACACAAGCAGGAGGAGUGGGAGAGGGAGAAGCAGGCUUCCCGCAGAGCAGGGAGCCCGAUGUGGGCCUCGAUCCCAGGACCCUGGGAUCAUGACCUGAGCCGAAGGCAGACGCUUAACGACUGAGCCACCCAGGGGCCCUGAUUAUUUUCGUUAACAGUUGGCUUAUGUAGAUGCCUGCUCCCAUGUUGGGGGCAUAGAUAUUUACAAUUGUUAGAUCUUCUUGUUGGAUAGACCCUUUAAGAAUGAUAUAGUGUCCUUCUGUGUCUCUUAUUACAGAAUUUAGUUUAAAAUCUAAUUUGUCUGAUACAGGAAUCGCUACCCCAGCUUUAUUUUGAGGUUCGCUGACAUGGGAGAUAAAUCUCCAUCCCUUCACUUUCAGUCUGGAUGUAUCUUUAGGUUCAAAAUGAGUCUCUUGUAGACAGCAUAUGGAUGGGUCCUGUCUUUUUAUCCAAUCUGCAACCCUGUGCCGUUUUAUGGGAGCAGUUAGGCCAUUCACGUUGAGAGUGAUUAGUGAAAGAUAUGAAUUAAUUGUCAUCAUGUUGCCUGUGAAGAUGUUGUUUUUAUAGAUUGUCCCUGUAAAUUUCUGUUGUAGAUCACUCUUGGGGUCUUUCUCCUUUUAUAGAACCCCCCUUAAUAUUUCUUGCAGGGCCUGGUUAGUGGUCACAUAUUCUUUCAACUUCUGCCAGUCGUGGAAGCUCUGCAUCUCUCCAUCCAUUCUAAAUGAAAUCCUUGCCAGAUAAAGUAUUCUUUGCUGCAUGUUCUUCUCAUUUAGUACCCUGAAUAUGUCUUGCCAGGCCAUUCUGGCUUACCAGGUCUCUGUGGAUAGGUCUGACGUUAUUCUGAUGUUCUUCCCUCUGUACGUAAGCAAUCUCUUCGCCCUAACUGCCCUUAAGAUGGUUUCCUUGGUUUUAAGAUUUGCAAGUUUUACUAUUACAUGCCGGGGUGUUGGCCUUUUUUCCUUGAUCUUAGGAGGGGUCCUCUCUGCCUCUAGGACUCGAAUGUUUGUUUCAUUCCCCAGAUUAUGGAAGUUCUCAGCUACAAUUUGCUCAAAUACAUCUUCUAGUCCUCUCUCUCUCUCCACUCCCUCCAGGAUUCCAAUUAUUCUGACAUUGGAACGCCUCAUGGUGUCACUUAUUUCUUUGAUUCUAUUUUCAUGGAUUCUCAGUUUUUCCCUGGCCUCCUCUUUUCCCUUUUUAUCUAUUAUAUUGUCUUCCAGGUCUCUUAUUCGCUCUUCUGCCUCAGUUACCCUAGCUGUUAGAUUAUCUAGAUUGGAUUGGAUCUCAUUGAUAGCAUUUUUAAGUUCUGUCAAUUCAGCUUUCAUUUCUGCCCUUAGAGACUCUAUGUUGCCAUUAAUUGAUUUCUCCAUUCUAGCCAUUGUCUUCACAAUUGCUAGCCUGAAUUCCAUCUCCGACAUCUUGGUUAUAUCUGCAUCCAUUUGUAAAUCUGCAGCAUAAGUCAUAAUCUCUGAGUCUUUUCUGUUUUGGGGGCACCUCUUCCUAGUCAUUUUGUUGAUGGGUGUUUGAGGGAAUGUAUAGAGUCCAAAUUAUUGACCAGAACCCAAGCAAGAUGCACCUGUUUUCUUGGGACCUUAGGGUUGUUGGCCUCUUGUUUUCCCAGCCUGUCUUCUGUGGGAGGGGCCUGCCGUGCUGUUACUCAGGCGACCCUGUUUGGGCGGAGUUGCCCUGCACCCCUGUGGCGGGGGAUGGGCUCAGUGGGAAUCAGUCUUCGGGGCUUUUGUUCUCUGGCGCCUUUCCCUGGUGGCUUUCCGCAUCUCUUCCGCGAGUCAGAGCAGAAGAGACCAUUUCCAACCCUCUGCCUCCGAGCAGAGAGACAGCAGUCUGUUCUUUAGUGAGCUCUCCAGGCCACACCAUCUCUGUUUCUGUCCGUGCUGCUAUAAACUGCAACAUCCUGGGUUGUGCGCCCCUCCGCAGCGCUCCCAGUCCUGCCUCCAGGUCGGGGCACGUCUCUGCCCUUUGUGCUUCUAAAACCGCCAGCCGCUCCCAGUUCGGGUGCACGUGACUCCACCGCUUGGGGUUUCCACCACAGAGGUUGCAGUUCACCGGUGGGACCCUGGCACACCUGGUUUCCGUCUCGGAGGCUGCAGUUCACGUGCGCGCGACCGUCGCUCCGGUUUCUAUCUGGGCGGCUGUGGUUCGCGUGCGCGCGACCCCGCCGGUCUGGUUUUCCACCCCGGGGGCUCCCCUAAAGUCCUUUCCCGACGCUACCGGUCUGCGAGUCUGUGCCCGUCCCCAGCGCACGAGGCUGUUACUUACCGGCAGUGUAGGAUCCCCACAGCCAGGCACCCUCCCGCUGCUGUUUAUCCUCCGAUAUCUGCCCGCAGAAUCACGGCUCCCCACUUUGUACCUCAAAACCAACUGCCUGUGAUAUUCUGUUUGUAGAGAUCCAGAUCUUCUUACAUCUCAGGCUGGUUUCAUGGGUGCUCAGAGUGGUCGGGUGGAUAUCCAGCUCAAUUCCGGGGACCAGUUGAAAUAGGGUCCCCUGCUCCUCCGCCAUCUUUCCCCCCUCCCAGCAGUAACUUUUUCUUAAAGUUUUUUUUUAAGAUUUCAUUUAUUUAUUUAUUUAGAUCAUGUGAGUGGGAGGAGGGGCAGAGGGAGAGGGAGAGAGAGAAUCUCAAGCAGACUCUACACUGAUCACGAGCCUGACAUGUAGCUUAAUCUCAUGACCAUGAGUUCAUGACCUGAGCUGAAAUCAAGAGUCGGAUGCUAUACCACCUGAGCCACCCAGGGGCCCAGGAAACAGUCAUGUUUUUAUGGACACGUCAUUAUGAUGGAAUUAGGUUUACCUAACAGGCAGCAUAUUUUGUGUGUACUUUACCUUACCUGUUUAUAGAAGUGCUCAUCAUUAAAUGGAGUUGUCGCAUCUAUUCUACCAUCAUAUUUUCUUGCCUUGGAGUAUUUAUUAGUCUGCCUAUUGGUCUGUUUCUCUCUCUCAGAAGGGUUUUUCAGCAGCUUCACAUGCACAGUGUCCUUAGGCACAUUUUUAUGUAAGGUUAGCCAGUUUUUUUCCAUACCAUUACAUAAGCUCCUUCCUAUACUACUUUCUUAUUUUAUAAUUAUUUCAAAUACUUUAUUCUGUGAAGCCAAUUCAUAAUAUUCCUUAUUUUAUUAUUUUUUUUAAAUUCCAGUAUAAUUAACAUACAGUGUUAUCAUAGUUCCAGGUGUGCAAUAUAGUGAUUAAACAAUUCCAUACAUUAUUCAGUGAUCAUCAGGAUGAGUAUGCUCUUAAUCCCCUUUACCUGUUUGACCCAUUCCCCAUCUAUCUACCCUCUGUCAACCAUGUUUGUUAAUAUAUAUAGUUUAUAUAUAUAUAUAUAAACAACCAUGUUUGUUAAAAGAUAUAGUUAAUCUGGUUUUUGGUUUGUCUCUUUUUCCUUGUUUCUUUUGUUUCUUAAAUUAUACAUAUGAGUGAAAUCAUAUGUUACUUAUCUUUCUCUGACUGACUUAUUUUGCUUAGCAUUAUAUUCUCCAGCUCCAUGUGUGUUGUUGGAAAUGGCAAGAUUUCAUUCACCUUUGUGGCUAAAUAAUACAAUGUUUAUAUCAACCACAUCUUCUUAAAUAAGAGAGGGCAACAAACCAUGAGGGACUCUUGACUCUGGGAAAGAAACUGAGGGUUGUGGAAGGGGGAGGUGGGUGGGGCAAUGGGGUAAUGGGGUGAUGGGCACUAAGGAGGGCACCUGAUGUGAUGAGUGCUGGGUGUUAUACGCAACUGAUGAAUCAUUGAACACUACAUCUGAAACUAAUGAUGUACUAUGUGUGGGCUAAUUGAAUUUAAAUUUAAAAAAGAAUAAAAUAAUAAAGCACACGUUCUUUAUCCAUUCAUCGGUUGAUACACACUUGGGUAUGUUGCAGUAAACAUAGGGGUGCAUAUAUCUUUGUCAAAAUAGUGUUUUCAUAUUCUAUCAGUAAAUACCAAUGGAGAAAUUACUGGAUCAUAUGAUAAUGCUAUUUUUAAUUUUUGGAGAAACCUCUGUACUGUUUCCACAGUGGAAUUAGUGUUCUAUUUUCUGCACAUACUUGCCAGCAGUUUUUCUUGUGUUUUUGUUUUAGACAUUCUGACAGGUGUAAUGUAUCAUAGUGGUUUUGAUUUGCAUUUCCCUGAUGAUGAGGGAUGUUGAGCAUCUUUCCAUUUCUCUCUUGACUAUCAAUAUAUCUUCUUUGCAAAAAUGUCUUUUCAUUUCUUCUGCCCAUGUUUUAUUUGGAUUAUUUCUUUUUUGGGUACUGAUAUUAUAAUAUGUGACUUUAUUUUUGUGAUUGUUUCCUUCACUGUGCAGAAGCUUUUUAUUUUGAUGAAGUCCCAAUAGUUUAUCUUGGCUUUUGUUUCCCUUGCCCCAGAAGGCAUAUAUAGAAAGAAUGUAUGGAAUAUAUUUGAUGUCAAAGAGAUGAAUGCUGGGAUCUCCUCUAGCAUAUUUAUGGUUUUAUGUCUCACAUUUAGGUCUUUAAUCCAUUUUGAAUUUAUGUCUGUAUUUGGUGUAAGAAAGUAGUCCAGUUACAUUCUUUUGCAUGUUGCUGUCCAGUUUUCCCAACACUGUUUGUUGAAGAGACUGUCUUUUUCCCACUGGUUAUUCUUUUUUGCUUUGAUGAAGAUUAAUUGACCAUAUAAUUGUGGGUUUAUUUCUGGGUAUUCUAUUCUGUUCCAUUGAUUUAUGUGUCAAUUUUUUGCCACUACCAUACUGUUUUGAUCACUAGAGCAAUUGUAAUAUGCCUUGAAGUCCAGAGUUGUCAUGCUUCCAGCUUUCAUUUUCUUUUUCAAGAUUGCAUUGGCUAUUUGGGGUCUUUUGUGGUUCAUACAAAUAUUAGGAUUGUUUGUUCUAGCUCUGUGAUUUUCUAGCUUCCUUGCCAAUUUGAAUGCCUUUUAUUUCUUUUUUUCUCUGAUUGCCAAGGCUAAGACUUCUAAUACUAUGUUAGACAGUAAUGGUGAGAGUGGGCAUCCCUGUCUUCUUCCUGACCAUAGAGGAAACACACUCAGUUUUUCCCCACUGAGGAUGAUACUAGCUGUGGGUCUUUCAUAUAUGGUCUUUAUGAUGUUGAGGUAUGUUCCCUCUACUCCUACUUUGUUGAUGGUUUUUAAUCAUAAAUAGAUUCUGUAGUUUAUCAAAUGAUUUUUCUGCAUCUAUUGAGAGGAUCAUAUGGUUCUUGUUUCUUUUAUUAAUGUGUUGUAAUAUGUUGAUUGAUUUAUGAAUAUUGAACCACCCUUACAACCAAGGAAUAAAUCCCCCUUGAUCAUGGUGAUUAAUUUUUAUAAUGAAUUGUUGGAUUCAGUUUGCUAGUAUUUUAUUGAGAAUUUUUGCAUAUCUGUUCAUUAGGAAUAUUGGCCCUUAGUUCUGUAUUUUAGUGGAGUCUUUAUCUGGUCUUGAUAUGAGGGUAUUGCUGGCUUCAUAGAAAGAAUUUGGAGGUUUUCCUUUUCUAUUUUAUUGGAAUAAUUUGAGAAGCAUAGGCAUUAACGCUUCUUUAAAUGUUUGCUAGAAUUUACUUGUGAAGCCAUCUGGCCCUGGACUUUUGUGUCUCAUUAGAUUGUUGAUUACUAAUUCAAUUUCCUUGCUGGUUAUCCUGCUGUUUAAGUUUUCUGUUUCUUCCUGUUUCAGUUUUGGUAGUUUAUAUCUUUCUAGGAAUUAAUUCAUGUCUUCCAGGUUGUCCAAUGUGUACGCAUAUUGUUUUUCAUAAUAUUCUUAUAAUUUUAUUUCUCUGAUGUUGAUUGUUAUUUCUUUUCUCUUAUUUGUGAUUUUAUUUAUUUGGGUCCUUUCUCUUUUCUUUUUGAGUAGUCUGGCUAGGCGAUUAUCAGUUUCAUUAAUUUUUUCGGAGAACCAUCUCCUGAUUCCAUUGACCUGUUCUAAUUUUUUUUUAGUUUGUAUAUCAUUUAUUUCUACUCUGAUCUUAUUAUUUCCCUCCUUUGGUAGGCUACUUUUGAUGUUCUGUCUCCAGCUUCUUUAGGUGUGGGCUUAGGGUGUUUAUUUGAGAGUUUUCUUGGUUCUUGAAGAAGGCUUGUAUUGCUAUAUACUUUCCCCAUAGGAGUGAGCCCAAUACGGGACUUGAUCCCAGGAUGCUGAGAUCAUGACCUGAGUGAAAUUAAGCUAUCUAGAAGAAAUGGACACAUUCCUGGAAACUUAUAAACCACCAAGACUGAAACAGGAAGAAAUAGACAAUCUAAUCAGACUCAUAACCAGGAAGGAAAUUGAAGCAGUAAUCAGAAACCUCCCAAAACACAAGAGUGCAGGGCCAGAUGGCUUCCCAGAGGAAUUCUACCAAACAUUUAAAGAAUAAUUUAUACCUAGUCUACUGCAGCUGUUUCAAAAAAUAGAAAUGGAAGGAAAACUUCUGAACUCCUUAUAUGAGGUCAACAUUACCCUGAUAUCAAAACCAGACAAAAACCCCAUCAAAAAGGAGAAUUAUGGACCAAUCUUCCUGAGAACUCUGAUGCCAAAAUACUCAACAGGAUCCUAGCCAAGAGGAUCCAACAGUGCCCUGAAAGGAUUAUUCACCACAACCAGGUGGGAUUUAUUUCUGGGAUGCAAAGGUGAUGGUUCAACAUUCACAAAUCCAUCAACGUGAUAGAACACAUUAAUGAAAGAAAAGACAAGAACUAUGUGAUCCUCUCAAUUGAUGCAGAAAAAGCAUUUGACAAAAUACAUCAUCCUUUCCUUAUUAAAAUUCUGUAGAGUGUAGGGAUAGAGGGAACAUACCUCAAUAUCAUAAAAGCCAUCUAUGAAAAACCCACAGCAAAUUCAUUCUCAAUGGGGUAAAACUGAGAGCUUUUCCCUUAAGGUUAGGAACAUGACAGGGAUACCCACUCUCACCAUUAUUGUUUAACAUAGUACUAGAAGUCCUAGCGUCAGCAAUCAGACAACACAAAUAAAUCAAAGGCAUUCAGAUUGUUAAAGAAGUCAGACUCUUCACAGAUGACAUGAUAUUUUAUGUGGAAAACUCAAAAGACCCCACCCCCAAAUUACUAGAACUCAUACAACAAUUCAGCAAUGUGGCAGGAUACAAGAUCAAUGCACAGAAAUCAGUGGCAUUUCUAUACACUAAUAAUGUAAUUGAGGAAAGAGAAAUUAAGGAAUCAAUUCCAUUUACAAUAGCACUGAAAACCAUGAGGUACCUAGGAAUAAACCUAACCAAAGAGUUUAAGGACCUAUACUCUAGAAACUGCAGAAUGCAUAUGAAAGAAAUUGAGGAAGACACAAAGAGAUAGAAAAACAUUCCAUGUUCAUGGACAGGAAGAAUAAGCUUUGUUAAAAUGUCUAUGUUACUCAGAGCAAUCUACACGUUCAGUGCAAUCCUUAUCAAAAUACCAUCGACAUUUUUCAAAGAGCUGGAACAAACAAUCCUAAAAUUUGUAUGGAACCAGAAAAGACCCUGAAUCACCAGGAGCAUGUUGAGAAAGAAAACCAAAGCUGAGGACAUUAUGAUGCCUGACUUCAAGCUAUAUUACAAAGCUGUGAUCAUUAACACAGCAUGGUAUUGGCAAAAAAAUAACAGACUCAUAUAUCAUUGGAACGGAAUAGAGACCCCAGAUAGGGACCCUCAACUCUGUGGUCAACUAAUCUUCGACAAAUCAAGAAUGAACAUCCAGUGGAUAAAAGACAAUCUCUUCAAUAAAUGGUGCUGGGAAUACUGUACAGCCACAUGCAUAAAAAUGAAACUGGACCAUUUUCUUACACCAUACACAAAGAUAAACUCAAAAUGGAUGAAAGACCUCAAUGUAAGACAGGAAUCCAUCAGAAUCCUAGAGGAGAACAUAGGCACUAACCUCUUUGACAUUGGCCACAGAACUUCUUUCAAGACAUGUCUCUAGGCAAGGGAAACAAAAGCAAAAAUGAAGUUUUGGGACUUCAUCAAGAUAAAAAGCUUCUGCACAGCAAUGGAAACAACAAAACUAAGUGGCAACCCACGGAAUGGGAGAAUAUCUACAUAUGACAUUCCAGAUAAAGGGCUGGUAUUUAAAAUCUAUAAUUUUCUCAAACUCAACACCCCCAAAAAAACAAAUAAUCCAGUCAAGAAAUGGGCAGAAGACAUGAACAGACAUUUCUUCAAGAAAACAUAGAAAUGGCUAACAGGCACAUGAAAAAAUGUUCAACAUCACUAGUUAUCAAGGAAAUACAAAUCAAAACCACAGUGAGAUACCACCGUGCACCAGUUAGAAUGGCUAAAAUUAACAAGACACAUAACAACAAAUGUUGAUGAGGUUAUGGAGAAAGGGGAACCCUCUUACACUGUUGGUGGGAAUGUAUGCUGGUACAGCCUCUUUGAAAACAAUAUGGAGGUUCCUCAAGAUUUUAAAAAUAGAGCUACCCUAUGACCCAGCAUUUGCACUACUAGGUAUUUAAUCCAAAGAUACAGAUGUAGUGAAAAUAAGGGGCACUUUUACCCCAGUGUUCAUAGCAGCAAUGUCCAUGAUAGCCAAACUGUGGAAGGAGCCUAGAUGCCCUUCAACAGAUGAAUGGAUUAAGAAUAUGUAGUUAAUUUGGAAUAUUACUCAGCCAUUAGAAAGGAUGAAGACCCACCAUGUGCAUCGACAUGAAUGGAACUGGAGGGCAUUAUGCUAAAUGAAAUAAGUCAAGCAGAGAAAGACCAUUAUCAUUUGGUUUCACUCACAUGUGGAACAUGAGGAAUAGCGUGGAGGACCACAGGGGAAGGGAGGAAAAACUGAAUGAGAAGAUAUUAGAGAGGCUGACAAACCAUGAGAGACUCUGGACUCUGGGAACCAAAGUGAGGGCUACAGAAGGGAGGGGGCAGGUUGAUGGGUAACUGGGUGAUGACUAUUGAGGAGGGCUUGUGUCGUGAUGAGCACUGGGUGUUAUAGGCAACUUAUGAAUCAUUGAACACUAUCAAAAACUAAUGAUGUACUAUCUGUUGGCUAACUGAACAUAAUUAAAAAAAAAAGAAAACGGGGUUUUAGAGGGGAGGGGGGAGGGGAGAUUGGUUAGCCCGGUGAUGGGUAUUAAGGAGGGCAUGUACUGCAUGGAGCACUGGUUGUUAUACGAAAACAAUGGAUCGUGGAUCACUACAUCAAAAACUAAUGAUGUAUUGUAUGGUGACUAACAUAACAUAAUAAAAUUAAAAACAAUUAAAAAAAAUAAAGCUUGUUUUCAACAACAACAAAAAAAAAACGAAGAAAAAACAGAAGGCACUUAUCAUUUCUCCACCUCAAAGAAUAAACCCCCUGUGUUGUGGAUACCAAAAACAAACAAAAACGUAAGUUGGUAAAUUUAAGAAUGUAGUUGAAUCCAGGAAAAGGUUAAAAAAUGAAAGAAAGAAGGAAAUGGAAAAUUUUAGCCUAAGGAUAAAUGAUUCAUGAGAAACACCUAGAGCUCAGUAUAUUAUUUUCCCGUGGUGCUGGAGUUUUACAGUAUGUGGCAUCCAUAAGCUUGUCAUUCACCUGUUCUUCUAGUCAGUUUUCUGGGGGUGGAGACUACCGUGCUGGUUCUCAGAUAUCUUUGCCUGGGUGGAGUUGUCCCACCCGUUGUCAGAGGGAUGCUGUCAAUGUAAGCUGGUCGUUUGUAAGGCUUUUUUUUCCCUGGAGGCUUUCCACACCUCUUCAGAGGGUCAAAGCAAAAAUGGCCAGGCCCAGACCCCCAGCCCAGAGCCACAAGAUCGCAGUCCCCCCUCUUCAAUAAACCCUACAGGUAAAAGAAUCUCCACUUCUGUGUGUCACAAACUCUGCAGACUCUUGCAGUUUGCGCCCACUGAAAUCCUCCUGGGGGGUGUCCCUGGGACCCACGAGCAUCACUGUGCUUUGUGUCUUUGCAACUUUGAGUGGUUGUGGGCUCAUGCACUCACCCUGCUCUGCUGCUCCCACGUCACGGCUGGGUGCUUCCCUACAGUCCUUUCCGGGGCCACCACUGCUCUGAGAUCUGUUGCCUAGUCAUGGGUGCAGCCAUUUUGUCCUUCCCAGGGGAUGGUAAAUAGCCCGCACCUUCCAGUCCUUUUCCAGGUGCUCAGGCAAACAGCGGUCUCCCUACGGUUGUGGUUUAUGGCAACCUGAGCUGAGAGCCCCUCCUAGUCUCACUGACCAUAAUCAGUUUCCCCUCUCCACUGCUUGGACACUGUAUUGGUUCAGGCACCCCCAUUCUUUCUGUGUCUCUCAGGAUCCUGACACCACAAUGUCCCACCUAGAUUUCUGCCCUUUUCAUCCCCUGAGCCCCUUUCAGAAAGGGAUGUUUCUCACUGGAGCAGAUUUCUAAGGGUUCUGAUUUUGCACUCUGGUGUUACAUCACUUUUUGGUAACCAGCUUAUAGAGCCUCCUUCCCCUCUCUGUUUAUCUUCUGAUAUUUCCCUGCAGAUUCACGACUCCACACCACCUACCUUGCAAAAAGCAGUCAUUUUUCUGCUUGUAGAGUUCCAGAUAAAUUUUCUUAUGUCUCAGGCUGAAUUCAUGGGUGUUCAGAAUGGUUUGAUAGUUAUCCAGCUAAAUUCGAGGGACUAGAUGAAACCAGGUCCUUUACUCUGCCAACUUGCUUCCCUCCUCAUUCAAUGUAAUUAUUGAUGGAUGUAUAUUUAUUGCCAUUUUAUUACUUGAUUUCUCACUUCUGGAGAUUUUCUCUGAUCUUGUCUUUGUCACUUUGGUGACAGAUUGUCAACUUUGCACUCAAAGUGUCCCCUUUAAUAUUUCUUGCAGGGCUGGUUUAAUGGUCAUGAUUUCGUUUAGAUUUAGAUUUUGUUUGUCUGGGAAACUGUUUAUCUCUCCUUCUAUUCUGAAUGACAGCCUGGCUGGAUAGAGUAUUCUUGGCUGCAGAUCUUUCCCAUUCAGAACUUUGAAUAUACUCUACUUCACUCUUACUUGGAAAGUUUCUUUGGGAAAUCUCCAGCUAACCUUAUGGGUUUUCCCUUGUAAGUUAAGGGCUUCUAUGCCUUGCUGCUUUUAAGAUUUGUUCUUUAUCACUAAAUUUUCAAAUUUAAUUGCAAUAUGUCUUGGUGUUGGCCUGCUUUUGUUGAUUUUGAUAGGAGUUGUCUGUGCCUCCCAGAUCUAAGUGUUUGUUUCCCUCUCCAGAUCAGGGAAAUUUUCAGCUAUUAUUUCUUCAAAUAAAUUCUCUGCCCUUUUUCUUUCUCUUCUCCUGGGACUCUUAUUAUACAAAUGUUAUUACGUUUGAUGGUCAGUGAGUUCCCUAUGUCUAUUCUCAUGUUGCAUAAUUCUUCUCUCUUUUCUCUUCAGUGUCAUUACUUUCCUUUUUUUGUCUUCUAGGUCACGAAUUCAUUCAUUUGCUUCUUCCAGCCUGGUGUACAUUGCAUGAAGCCUGUUACAAAUCUUGUUUAUUGAACUCUUCAUCUCUAAUUGAUUCUUUUAUCUAUUUUCUCUCUGUGUUAAGGGUCUAACUGAUGCCUUCUAUUCUUUUCUCAAGCCCACUGAGUAUCUUUAUGAUUGUUAUUUUAAAUUCUCCAUCAGUUGUUUAUAUCAGCAUUAUCAACAACAGCCAAAUUAUGGAAAGAGCCCAAAUGCGCAUUGACUGAUGAAUUGAUAGAUGAUGUGAUAUACAUAUAUGUGUGUGUACAUGUAUAUGUGUCUAUAUUCACACGUAUGUGUAUAGUAUAUACAUUGGAAUAUUACUCAGCCUUAAAAAAGAAUGAAUCCUUGCCACUUCCAACAUCGUGGAUGGAUCUAGAGAGUAUUAUGCUAAGUGAAAUAAGUCAGAGAAAGAUAAAUACCAUGACUUCACUUAUAUGUGGAAUUUCAGAAACAAAAGAGUUGAAUAUAGUUGGGUAAAAGAGAAGCAAACUAUGAAACAGAUGCUUAACUAUAGAAAACAAACAGGAUUACUAGAAAGGAUGUUGGUGGGGGAUGUGUUAAAUAGGUGAUGAUUAUUAAGGAGGACUCUUGUGAUUAGCACUGGUUGUUUUAUGUAAGUGAUGAACCACUAAAUUCUAUACGUAAAACUAAUAUUACACUGUAUGUUAACUAACUGGAAUUUAAAUAAAAACUUGAAGGAAAAAAAAUUCUCCAUCAGGUAUGUUACUUUCAUCUGUUUUACUUAUAUCUCUGGCUGUGGUCUUGUUUUUUUCAUUUUGGAUAAAUAUUUCCUUCUUUGCAUUUUGUCGAAAUCUCUGUAUUUUUCUCUGAGCUAUGUUAAGCCAGAUAUGUUUCCUGCUUCUGAAAGUAGGGCCUUGUGAGUAAGAGGUCAUGUAGUGCCCAAGGCCUGGUGUUUCAGGGAGUGUCUCUGGUGUGUGCUGCGUGUGCAUUGCUCUUGUGUUUUGGCUGCUUUAUCCUUCAGGGCAAUCGGCAGAGGCUCUCUGUGUCUGCUGUGGGCAGUGUUUGGACUCUGGCCUGAAUGUGGUGUGUUUUAACUAGGUGUGCUGUGUUCUGCUUGUUAAAUGAGUUCUGACAUCACCUCCACUGUAGCUGAGGCCCUGCAGAACUCUCUGUUUGGGAGACAUGGUGUGGGCGGGGAGUAUGCUGGUCUUCUGGGGGAAUGGGCCCACCAUGCUGGGACUGAGGCAAAUUUGACUGAGAAGGGCCGUCUCACCAGAGUGGAGCCUGGUGUAUGCAAGCUGUGCAGCCAGUUUGGGCAUUGCUCUGCUUUCCCCAAGUGGCUCUGUGUUUAUGCUGAGGGGUGGGGUUAGGAAAUGGUGCUGGUCAGCUCCUAUAUUCCUGAAGAGGUGUCCUUGUGAACACUGCCUCUCACAGACAUGCUCCAAGAAGAAGAAAUAAUGUUCCCACUGUGUGCCCCAGGUGCUCUUCAGAUUGCUGUCUCCAUGCUCUCUGCCCCUGUGUUGUUUGCUUGCCUUCUCUUCUUCAAGUGCAGCCCACUGCCCUCUGGGUUUUAUCCCAGCCAAGCCCACUGCCCUUUAAAGCUUGAGGCUUUAGGCCCCUCUGGUUGCAAGAAUUCACCAAAUUCAGCCCCUCUCAUUUCCAAGCCAAUGGCUUUAGGUUAACAUUCUCCUUAUGAGUUGCCCUGUGUGCCCCCCUCUCUCUCUCACCCUUCUCUGCAACCAUGGCUUCCCUUCUACAUCACCCAUGAUCUGUUUCUCCCUUAAACCAUAUCUCCACACUUCCUACCUUUUUUGAUGUGGCAUAUUUUCUUCCUUUAGUUUUGGAGUUUGUUCUGUCAGUCUUUAGGCCAAUUUAUGGAGUAUUUAGAAUGAUUUGAUAGCUAUCUCAUUGUGUUCAUGGGACAAGGUGAGCCUAGGAUCCUCCUACUCUGCCACCAUCUUUCUCUCCAAGCCUACUGUAGUAUAUUUUUAAUUUUAGUUAUUGAGUUCUUCAUUUCUGAUUGGUUCUUUUUUAUCUUUUCUAUCUCUUUUUGAGGGUCUCACUGAGAUCCUCCACUCUUCUUAAGUCCAGUCAGUAUCUUUGUGACCAUUACUUCAAAUUUUCUAUCAAGCAUAUUGCUUAUCUCUAUUUCAUUUAGUUCUCUUGGUGUGUUUUUUUUUUUUUCUUGUUUGUUCAUUAGGGACACAGUCCUCUGUCUCCUGUUUUCAUGUAACUUUCUGUGUCUGCUUCUAUGUUUUAGGAGAGUCUUCUAACACCCUUAUGUCCCCUGCUCUUCAAAGUAGUGGCUUUAUGAAGAAGAAGUCCUGUAGUACCCUACAGUGCAAUAUCCACUGUUCGUUAGGACCUGGUGAUUUAGGACUGUCUCCUAUGUGUGUUGCUGCCCCCUACUUUUGUGGAUUAGCUCUGUUUGCCUUCAGACCCAUGCUCCGCAGUGGCUCCGUUUGCCUGCUGUGGACCAGAUUUAUUCCCUGGUAUACUGUAUGGGGCCAGCCUGGGGACUCCUUGGGCUUACAUUGGUUCCAGCCAGAUGUUUGCCAGAGUUGUGGUUGUAGCAAACUGCAGGGUGCUCUUCCUCUGUUGUUCCCUGAGAGGCUUUCAUUGAUGGGUGAGGACUGCAGUCAAUUCAAAUGACUGCGCCCAGUCAGCUGCUGGGGCUUCUGCCCUUAGUCACCUUAGAGUGUUGCCGGGCACCUUUCAGGCUGGUUGCAGAAUGCCACACUUGUGGCAUGGCUUUGGAUAAACCCUAAAUUUAUUGUGCUGAGUGGAGUGGGUUGAGUGAGGCAUAUGCACAGGAGGGUGCUGGGGUGUGUUGCACUCUUAGGAAGGUUUGCUCUGGUCUGCUUGUGGGUGAUGACCUGAUGCUGUUUUGGAGAACUCCUGUGGAGAGCAGGUUGGAUGAAGCAGGUCUGUAUGAGAACAUGGAGGCACAGCAUAUUGCUAGCAAGCAAGUUGGAGAGUGUUUGCUCUGGUUCCUACAGCUGUCUGUGCAUCUAGGCUGGGGGUUGACGGAGAGAAAUGGUUCCCACCAGUGCUUUUCAUUUUGGAGAAGUUUCCUAAAGACUCCUCCCUUUCCUAUACAUGUUCUGAGAUUAGUAAACAAAUCUCUUUCCCGUAUACUAUGCUGAUGCUCCUAUACUUUAUCUUAGUGGGAUUGUUUGUUAUGCUAUUUCUUUAAGGGUGGGGACUCAGUUUCCUAUUGUUCUCAUGUUCUCCCAGAGCUGACCCUACUGAUUUUUUUAAAUUUCUUUAAAAUUCCUGGUGUUAAGCCUCACUGAUUAUAAAAACUCUCUCGAAGUUAAGCCACUCUGGUUUUCAAAGCCGAAUGUUAUACUGAUUUGUCUUUCAGCCUGGGGUGCCUUGUGUGGGGUCUUCUCCUUUUCCUUUUCUGUACUUGCAGUAUCCCUCCUUCCCCUGGUCAGUCUCACAGGUCACUUUGUUUCACAACCAGUUCUGUGCCCUUCCUGCUGUUUUUGAUGUGGCCUCUUCUCUACAGUUAGCUUUGGAGAGUCUGUUCUGGCAGUCUUCAGGUUGUGUUCUGAGUUAUUUACACUGAUGGUGUUAUAUAGCUGGAUCUGUGGGGUGAGGUGAGCUUAGGAUCCUCCUACUCUGCCAUCCUCCCCAGAACUCCUUCCUAUACUACUUUAGAUUGAUCAUUUUUAAAAGGAAAAUAUGAUAUGGUCAAGUUCUUUUCUUGGUAAUCUUCCUUCCUGACGUGUUAUCAUUUCAUCGCAGUGUUUUGUUUUUCUUGGAAGUGCACCAACUUUUCUUGCAUUGAUUUCAUAUAAGUUUUCUACUAUUGCCAUAACAAAUUUAUCACAAAUGUAGGGGCUUAAAACAAUACAUUUACUAUUUUACCAUUGUGUAGGUCAGAAAUCUGGUACAGGUCUCAUUGGAUGAAAAUCAAGUUAUUGGCAAGCUGCAUUCCUUUCUGGAGGGUCUAGGGGAAAAUUCAUGUCUUACUCAUUUGGUUGUUGGCAGAACUCAAUUUCUCAUGACUGUAAGUCUAGAAUCUCUGUUUCCUUGCUAGCUGUCAACUGAGGGCUGUUCUCAGUUUCAAGAGUUCACCUUCAUUAUUUGGCUUGUUGUGUCCUUUUUCCAUCUUCAAAGCCAACAAUAGAUUGUGUCCCUCCUACCAUAGAAUUUCUACACUUUCUUUCUUUUUUAUUCCUGAGAGAUAUUUUGGGAAUUUACAUCACCUAGGAUGUAUGUAUAUGUUUGAAAAUGUUGCACUAAAAAAGAUAUAUAGUGACACCAAAGGAAAGUAAGAUUAUUUUUCUUCUAAAAAGAAUGGUUAUAUGACUCACUUUUGAGGAAAAAAAUGUGGAACAAAAGCAUUUUUAUGUUGUUAUAAGACAUUUUUUUCUGAAAUCACAGAACCUGUGUUCAAAUAUGAUUUCUUUAUUUUCUGAUUAUAUCACUUGAAGCAAGUCAUUGAACUUUUGAGUCCAAUUUUCACUUCUAUAAAUGAGGAUAAUGAAUACCUGUCACAGUUUAUUUAUAGGCUAUAAAUAUUAAGUGACAUAAGUAAAUUAAAAAAAAAUUGUAUGCAAUUUUAGUUUUGGCAGAGCUCCCAAAUCAGUGCAUCAUCUCCUCUAAGCUACCAAAGUCAGCCAUGACACCACCACAUUUGAUCUGCAAAAAGGUGAAAGAAAACAAUUUUUCUAUUACCCUCAACUACAGAGUAUAUAAAAUUGUCCUCAUGAAAAUAAAUAAAUAAGUAAAUAAAUAGUGUCCUCAUGGAUAAUAGAUGCAGAGAUUUUUCUGCAUAUGGAAUGUAUAUACCCCACACCCUCUAAUAAGGAUGGGUAUUGAUGGGGUUUUUAAUCCUCAUCUCACAAUUUUUUUCAUCUUUAUUGAUGUUUAAUUGGCAAAUAAAAUUGUAAGAUAUUUAAAGUGUACAUCAUGGUGACUUGAUAUAUAUAUACAUUGUGAAAAGAUUUCCACCAUCUUGUUAAUUAAGACACCCAUCACCUCACAUAUUUAUUGGGUUUUUUUGGUGAGAACAUUUAAAUUCUACUCUCUUAGCAAAUUUCAAUUAUACAAUACAUUGGUAUCAACUAUAAUCAUCAUGUUUUACAUUAAAUCCUCAGACCUUGUUCAUCUUAUAGUUGAAAGGUUGUAUCCUUUGACCAACGUCUUCCUAUUUCCCCCACUCCCCAACCCCUGGCAACUACUUUUAUAUUCUUUGUUUCUAGGAGUUUGACUUUUUUUUAAAUUCCAUAUAUAAAUGAUACCAUGCAGUAUUUGUCUUUCUCUGUCUGGCUUAUUUCACUUAGCAUAAUGCCCUCAAGGUCCAUCCAUGUUGUCACAAAUGGCAACGUUUCCUUCUUUCUCAUAGCUAAAUAUUUAUAUGUAUGUGUGUGUGUGUGUAUUUAUUUGUGUGUGUGUAUCAUGUCUUCUUUAUCCUUCUGGCUACUGAUUGACACUUAAGUUAUUUCCAUAUCUUGGCUAUUAUGAAUAGUGCUGCAAUGAACACUGGAGUGCAACUGUCUCUUCAAUAUUCUGUUUUCAUUACCUUAUGUACCUAUAAGUCUCCAUUUUCUUUUUCUUUUUCUUUUUCUUUUUUGUCUUUACAUCUCUCUCUGGCUCAGCUGGGGAAAAAUCCUCUGCUUUUAAGGAAUUAUGCAAUUAGUGUGCGUGCACCCAGGUAAUACAGAAUAAUCUCCCCCAUCUCAAGGCCUUUAACUUAAUCACAUCAUCAAAGUUCUUUCCAUGUAAGGUAACGUAGUAGUUGUAGGUUCUGGGAAUUAAGGUGUGGACAUUUUUGGGUAGUCAUCAUUCUGCUUACCUGAGACAGCCUGUUCUUGUUGGAGGAUGAAGAUAGAUGGUGGGAAGAGCUACACAUCAUAUGAUUUUCUUAGAUCAGAGAGAAUGAAGCUAGAUCAGCAAGCUGGAGCUUUUAACCUUGUGUGACAUGCUAGGUAAGCUUAAAAUAAAGCUAGGAAAUGGGAAGUCGUUGAAGAUUUUUUAAGGAGGGUACUAUAUUCACAUUCAUGUUUUAUAUAGAUCAUACUAGUGAGCCUAUGGAAAAUGGUGUAGAAAGAGAUUGGGGUAAGAAGACCAUUUAAAAUGUUUUUGUAAUAAUCCUGACAAGUAAUGGUGAAAGCCUGAAGUCAGUCAGUCAUAGAGGAAUGGAUUUCAGAAAGGUUGAUGAAAUAUUACUGAUUAGUUGGUAUAAUCAAUCAGGGAUCAACCAGAGAAACAGAACCAGUAAGAGAUAUAUAUUAAAAAUGUAUUCAAGGAAUUGGCUUAUGUGAUUGCAGGGACUGACUAGAUGAGUCUGAAAUCCAUAGAGCAGUCCCUCAGGAAUGCAGAAUGAAACUUUCUGGCAUGGGCUGAAGCUAGCGUUCAGAGGUGAGGUUUCUUCAGGGAAGCCUCAUUCUGCUCUUAAGACCUAUCAGCUGAUUGAAUUAGGUCCACCCACAAUUUAUGGGAUAAUCUCCUUUACCUAAAUGAGAUCACAGACAUUAAUUACAUCUACAAAAUGGCUUUACAGCAACAGCUAGAUCAGUGCUUGAUUGAAUAACUGGGGUAUCUAGUCUAGCCAAGUAUACAUAUAUAAAAUAUCAAAGUUGUAAGAGAUAUAGAAAAAAAAUUAUAUACAUAUAUGUGUGUGUAUAUAUAUAUAUAUAUAUAUCCUACAACUUUUGAUUAUCCCAUUGGUUGUUUGUAUAGAUAAAAAAUCUGUAUUGAUCCGGGCCUUGACUCAAACUUCAUUUUAUAUACAAAGAAGAAAGUUUUAAUACACACUGACUUUUCCAAGAAUGCAUCUACCAUGUAAACCAACAUAAGAUCUUACUUUGUUUUGUUCAGAAUGUUACCAAGAACGUUCAUCAUUUUGGAAAAUCAUUUCACCUACAAAAUACUGCUCUUGGAUAUUUGAAAUAAUAGUAAUAACAGAGCUGUAUCAGUCAGCAUUUAUAGCUAUUACAUUUACAGGCAUUCUCUGUAUACUUGUCUGCAUAUGUCUUUUAGUGUUGUCAUGCCCCAGCAUUUCCAUAUUGAAAUACAUUUUGUUUCCUCAUAAACUACUUUCUUUGUAUUUCUCUUUCAUAUUAUAGAUACCAUAUUUUUGGUAUCAUGUAUAUUUUAUUUCCAUAUCAUAAAAUAGGCAUUAAAAUAUUUAAGAAACAGGGCCAGAUAGACUUGAGAAACGCUAAUUUAGAGGAAAGAAGAUAAGAAUGGGUGAAAAUGUUGAAAAAUUUCAUGUAGAGAUGCAGGAACUUGUUAGAAGGGCUGUGCAUUAUGCUUUGUGGUAGAGGUUACCAUAGCUCUAAUUGCCAGAUUUAGUGAAUAGCUUUUAGCUUUUAUCGUGACUCUCUGUAAUAUUUAAAAUUCUCUCCUCUUUUCCUUUUUAUGACAUCCUUCUUCAGUUCUUCUCUUACAUAUCUGGCCUUUGUUUCUCACUCUUUUUCUGAGUACUCCUCUGCCUGGAUCUUUAGAUUUGGUGAUUCCUAAAUCUCCCUGUUUGAAUUCUCAAUUCUCCUUGGCAAUCUCACCCAUGCCUUGGGUCUAAUUAAACAUACAUAUGCAGAUGUUUCCCAAAUCUGUACCACCAGCACAAGCCUUUAUGCCAAGCUUCAGACUCAUAAAGCGAACUGCCUGCUAACUUUUUCUAUGUGGAUGCCUUUCCAGCACCUCAAAACUGAACAUAGCCAAAACUGAACUCUUCAUUACUCCACCAGCAGCACCAUAAACCUCUUUCUUAUUCUUGUUGGUACUAAUAUUCCCAAGGAAAAACAACUAGGACAUCAUGUCAUAUUUCUCUUUUUUUACCUCCACUUUUUAAUCUGAUGCAAAAUCAUAAUGAUCAUUCCUUCAGAAUAUCUCAUGAAUUUGUCUUCUAUUCCAUUUCCUAAACUCCAUUCCAGUACCCUAGUUUAGACCCUUACCAUUUCUCCUGAUGACAAUAAUAAUUUCAUAACUGAAUCUACUGCCUCCACUACUGCCUGAUGACUUUGGUACAGUCUCUAGAAUAAAUAUCUAACCACAUUGUUUCUCUACUUAAAAUCCUUCAAUGACUUUCUAUUUCCGAUGAUAGUCUUAGUGUGGCCUAAAAGAUUCUCUAUGGCAUGUCUCUUACUUAAACUGGUCUUCUGCUAAUCCCUACACUCCACCCCAAACUUAUAUAAUCCUUUUCUUAUAUUUUAUGUUUCACCAGGGUUUCCUUGAACCUAUGUUUGACUCCCAUUUAAUUGUAUAUUUGUUUUUCUCUAAUAUCUUCAUAUCUUUUACCUCAUGAACUUCAUUCUUCAAAGUCCUGCUCAGUUGUCUUAGCCUUAAGAAAAUUUUCUUUUAUUUCCUGUUCUUUGUCUCUAGAAGGGAUUACUUCCUCUUUGCUACUUCUCUGCCUGAUAUUUAUCUAUUAUUGUACAUAUCAUAUACAGGCUUGGUAGAUGCACAUUGAUACAUAUUGAAAUCUCAAUAUAGCAUCUUUCCAUCUUGUUGAUUAGGAAUGUAAAAGAUAAAAUACACAAUAGAAGUUCAUAGGUUUGUUUCUUUUGUAUUGCUUAUUAAUUGAUAUAUAACUCAUAGUAAAGCACAUAAAUCUUAAGUAUAUAGCUCUGAUGAUUUUGUACCCAUAUUAAAUAUUCAUGUAAUCACCACCUAGAGCAAAAUAUAGAACAUUUUCAGUAACCCAGAAGGUUCAUUUGUACUCCUUCCAAGUCAGUACCCUCAAGAAGUAACCACUAUUCUGACUUCUAUCACCAUCUAUUAGUUUUGCCUGUGCUUCAACUUUAUAUACAUGGAGUCACAGACUACGUGUUCUUUGCUCAGACAGGUUUUUAUAAAAACCUUAGAACUUUGGUGCACUCUAAUGUUGUCUAUGAGGAAAGAGAUUCUGAAAGCCUAUGAGAGGAUGUUCCAAGAAUGAGGCAAGGCUUCAACAACUCCUGAAUUACAAAGAUCAGAAAGUCUAUGAACAUUUGAAUGGGUGCCCUCACUAAAAUAAAAUAUUGUAGCAGAUAUAUAUUAACAAGAACAAGGAAAAAUGAAAUCUCAAGAAUUUUGAAGAAACUAUAGAGGAAGAGAUCCUCAAAAUUUUCUAGAAAAGAAGAGAUGUUAAUUUGGAACUAAUUCAGUUCUAUUCAGUCAGCACUUACUGAGAACUUCUGUGUGUCAGGCACAGAGAGUACUAAACUGUACCUGCCCUUGAAGACUACACAGUCUAGUGCUGGAGACAGAAUCAUCUUCUAAGGGAGAUUUGAAUUAAAUAUACAUUAUCAGUGGGAGACACUCAAAUGAAGAAAGUUGACGAGGUGUAUUUCAUUUUCAGCCAUGAUUAAUUUGAGAUACCUGUGGGACAUUGGGGUGUAGAUGGUCUUUAGAAUAUCAGAAUUAUAGACAAGGGAUGCAGAUUUGGAUACUAUCAGCAUAUAGAUGGGAAUUAUGAGUACUUGAAUGGGAGCUGAAGUCAUGAGGAAUGUAUACUGUGAGACAAGACAGUGAAAAUGGAAUUCUGAAGAACACCAAUGUUGAAAAGACUAUGGAGAGGAAGAGGAUCCUGCAAAUGAAACUGCAUAGCCAAAGAAGGAAGGAGAACAGAACAUGAAGUGUCCUAAAAAAAAAAAUAAUAAUAAUGAAGUGUCCUAUAACCUAAGGGAAAAGAGUAUCUCAAGAAAGAGGAGGUAAUCAACAGUGUCAACAUGUUUUUGUAAAAGACUUUAAAGUGUCCAUUGGUGUUGGGAAUGGAAGGGAGAGAACAAUCAUUGACUCUAUCAAAGGAGGUCCUUGAUUUGGCAUGUAAGAAAUAAAAAAAAGAUUGUAGUGGUUUGAGGAGUGCAUAGAGGAAGAGUGGGGAAGUGGUCAAAGAGAAUGCAGACAGUGCUUUCAAGAAAUUGAGAUAUGAUACAUAGGAAGAAGGAGAGAUAUUUAUAAUAAGGGGAACAUAAAGUUAAAUGAAACUUUGUUUUGAAGGAAAAGACUUGAGAAUAUUAAAUAUUCAUGGGAAUGUCAAAUAGGGAGAAGCAGAAGGGACAGGAAAAAGUGGGUAUAAUUAAUGGUUUGAGGGAGGUGAGAUCAAGUGCAGAGAUGGAAGAAUAUGCCUUAGGAGAGGAGAAAACUGAAGGGAGAAAUAGACAAUAAUAGUGGAGGACAUAAAUACUCCACUUUCAGUAAUGGGUAGAAUAUGUAGACAGAUCAAUAAAGAAAUAGCAGACUUACCUGCAGAUUGAAAGUGAGGAGAUGGAGAAACAUUUAUCAUGGACCUCAAAAGAAAGUGGAGGUAGCAGUACUUCUAUCAGGCUAACUAGAUUUUAAAUCAAACACUGUAAUAAGACAUGAAGAAGACUACUAUAUCAUAAUAAAGGGAACUAUCUAACAGGAUAUAACAAUUGUAAAUAUUUAUGUACCCAACAUGGAAGCAACCAAAUAUAUAAUAUAGUUAAUAAUGAACAUAAUGGAACUCAUUAAUAAUAAUAUAAUAAUUCUAAGCAACAAUAACAGCCCACAUUCCUCAAUGGACAGAUCAUCUAAGCAGAAAAUCAACAAGGAAACAAUGGCUUUAAAUGACGCACUGGACCAGAAGGACUUAACAGAUAUAUUCAGAUCAUUCCAUCCCAAAGCUGCAUUCUUGUCAAGUGCACAUGGGAUGUGCUCCAAAAUAGAUCUCAUAUUAGGUCACAGAUCACACCUAAAAAAGUACAAAAAGACUGAGAUCAAACCAUGCAUAUUUUCUGACCAUAAUGCUAUGAAACUUGAAGUCAACCACAAGAAAAAAUUUAGAAAUACCAGAAAUGCAUGGAGGUUAAACAACAUUCUACAAAACAGUGAAUGGGUCAACAAGGAAAUCAAAGAAGAAAUAAAUACAAGGAACUAAAUGAAAAUGAAAACACAAUGGUCCAAAACAUUUGGAAUGCAGCUAAAGCUGCUGAAAGUAUAUUGUAAUACAAGCCUACUUCAAGAAGCAAGAAAAAUCUCAAACUACCUAACCUUAUACCUAAAGGAGCUAGAAAAAGAACAUCAAAUGAAGCCUAAAGCCAGCAGAAGAAUAGAAAUAAUAAAGAUUAGAAAAGAAAAAAAUGAUGUAGAAACAAAAAAAAAAAUCAAAAACAAAAAACCAACAGAACAGAUCAAUGGAAUCAAAAGGUGAUCCUUUGAAAAAAAUAAUAAAAUUGAUAAACCCCAGCCAGACUUACCAAAAAGAAAAGAUAAAGGACCCAAGUAAAUAAAAUCAUAAAUGAGAGAGGAGAAAUAACAAGCAACACUACAGAAAUACGUACAAUUAUAAGAGAAUAUGAUGAAAAACUAUAUGCCAACAAAUUGGGCAAUGUGGAAGAAAUGGAUAAAUUCCUAGAAACAUAUAAACUACUAAAAUUAAAACAGGAGGAAACAGAAAACUUGAACAGACUGAUAACCAGCAAAGAAAUUGAAUCAACAAUCAAAAAUCUCCUAGAAACAAAGUCCAGGGCUAGAUGACUUCACCGGUGAAUUCAAGAAAACAUUAAAAGAGGAGUUAAUAUCUGUGCUUCUCCAAAUAUUGGAAAAAAUAGAAAUGGAAGUAUAACUUCCAAUUUCAUUCUGUGAGGCCAGCAUUAUCCUUAUAACAAAACCAGCCAGACUCAACAGAAAAAGAGAACUAUAUAGGCCAAUACCCUUGAUGAACAUGGAUGCAAAAAUUCUCAAUAAAUUAAUAGUGAAUUGAAUCCAACAGUACAUUAAAAGAAUCAUCACCAUGAUCUAGUGGCAUUUAUUCCUGGGCUGCAAGGGUGGUUCACUGUUCAAAAAUCAAUCAUUGUGAUACACCAUAUUAAUAAAAGAAAGGAAGAAAAAACAUAUGAUCCUUCCAAUAGAUGCAGAAAUACCAUUCACAAAGUACAACAUCCAUUCAUGAUAAAAACUGUCAACAAAAUAGGGACAGAGGGAACAUAGCUCAACAUCAUAAAAGCCGUAUACAAGAGACCCAUAGCUAAUAUCAUCCUCAAUGGGGAAAAACUGAGAGCUUUUCCUUUUUGGCCAGAAACAAGACAAGGAUGGCCACUCUCAGCAUUGUUAUUUAACAUAGCAUCAGAAGUCCUAGCCACAAUAAUCAGACCAAAAAAAAAAAAUCCAAAUUGGUAAGGAAGAAGUAAAACUUCCACUAUUUGUAGAUGACAUGAUACUCUAUAUAGAAGACCCGUCACUCUACCAAAAAAAAACUGCUAGAAAUGAUAAAUGAAUUUAGUAAAGUUGUAGGACACAAAAUCAACAUGCAGAAAUCUUUUGCAUUUUUAUACACCACUAAUGAAGCAGCAGAAAAAGAAAUCAAGGAUCAGUCCCACUUAUAAAUCACCAAAAACAAUGAGACACCUAGGCAUAAACCUAACCAAAGAGGUGAAAGACCUUUAUUCUGAAAACUGUAAAACACUGAUGAAAAAAAUUGAAAAUGACACAAAGAAAAGGAAAGUCAUUCCAUGCUCAUGGAUUAGAAAAAUAAACAUUGUUAAAAACGUCUACACAAAGCAGUCUACAUAUUUAAUGCAAUCUCUAUCAAAAUACCAACAGAAUUUUUCACAGAACUAGAAAAACAAUCAUAAAAUUUGUAUGGAACCACAAAAAAAUCCUGAAUAGCCAAAGCAACGUUGAAAAAGAAGAAGGAGGAAACAAAAAGCAAACCUGGCGGCAUCACAGUUCCAGACUUCAAGUUCUCUUACAAAGGUAUAGUGAUCAAAACAGUAUGGUACUGGCACAAAAAUAGACACACAUGGAACAGAAUAGAAGUCCAAGAAAUGAACCUAUAACUAUAUGGUAUUUAAUCUGACAAAGCAGGAAAGAAUAUCCAAUGGGCAAAAGACAGUCUCCUCAAAAAAUGGUUUUGGGGAAACUGGACAGCAACAUGUAAAAUAAUGAAAGUGGACCACAUUGUUACACUAUACACAAACAUAAAUUCAAACUGGAUGAAAUACCUAAGUGUGAGACAAGAAACCCUUAAAAUCCUACAGGAGAACACAGGCAGUAAGCUCUUUGUCAUUAGCUGGAGAAGCUUCUUCCUAGAUAGUGUCCUGAGGUAAGGGAAACAAAAGCAAAAAUAAACUAUAGGGAUUUCUUCAAAAUAGAAACUUCUGUACAGUGAAGUAGACAAUCAACAAAACUAAAAGGCAACCUUCAGAAUGGGAGAAGAUAUUUGCAAAUGACAUAUCUGAUAAAGCAUUAGUAUCCAAAAUACAUAAAGAAGUAAACUCAACAUCCAAAAAAUGAAUAAUCCAUAUUAAAAUAUUGGCAGAAGACAUCAGUAUUUUUUCCAAGAAGACAUAGAGAUAACCAACAGACACAUGAAAAAAUGCUCAACAUCACUCAUCAUCACGGAAAUAAAAAUAAAAACUACAAUGAGAUAUCCUUUCACACCAGUCAGAAUGGCUAAAAUUAGCAACACUAGAAACAACCAGUCUUGGAAAGUAUGUGGAGAAAGGGGAACUGUCUUGCACUCUUGUUCAGAAUGCAAACUGGUGCAGCCACUGUGGAAAAUAGUAUGGAAUUGCAUCAAAAAGUUAAAAACAUCAAUACGCUAUAUGCCAGCAAUGACACUACUAGGUAUUUACCCAAAGAACACAAAAAUACUAAUUCAGAUGUAUACAUGUACCAUGAUGUUUACAGCAGCAUUAUCUACAAUAGUCAAAUUAUGGAAAUAUCUCAAGUGUCCAGUGACUUAUGGAUGGAUAAAGAAUUGGUAUAUAUGUAUAUAGAGUGGAAUAUUACUCAGCCAUAAAAAUGAAUGAAAUCUUGCCAUUUGCAAUGAUAUCAUGGAGACCCAGAGUAUUAUCAUAAGUGAAAUAAGUGAGUCAGAUAAAGACAAAUACCAUAUGGUUUCACUCAUAUGUGGAAUUUAAGAAACAAAAGAAACAAAGGGAAAAAAGAGAUAGGCAAAUCAAGAAACAGACUAUGGAUUACAAACUGAUGGUUUCCAGAGGGGAAGGGUUAAAUAGGUGUUGGGGAUUAAGGAGUGUACUUGUGAUGAGCACCGGGUGUUGUAUGGAAGUGUUGAAUCACUGUAUUGUGUACCUGAAACUAAUACUGUUAGUUAACUAACUGGAAUUUAAAUAAAAACUUUAAAAGAAGUGUUAAAGGGCACCUGGGUGGCUCAGAUUGUUAAGCAUCUGCCUUCGGCUCAGGUCAUGAUCUCAGGGUCCUGGGAUCGAGUCCCGCAUCGGGCUUCCUGCUCCUUGGGAGCCUGCUUCUCCCUCUGCCUCUCUCUGUCUCUCAUGAAUAAAUAAAUAAAAUCUUUAAAAAAAAUAAAAAAAAAUAAAAGAAAUGUUAAAAUAUGUUAGUCUUUAUAAGAAGAGAAAAUUUGGGGCAGGAUCCAAGAAUGCAACAUAGGAAGACCUUGAACUCAUCUCCACAGAUAGACCAAAUCACCUACAUAUAGAGCAACUCCUCCAGAAGAACUGUGGUCUGACUUAACAGCUUCUCCACAACAAAGGAUAGAGGGACUACAUAGAUGAUGGCAGGAGAGACAGACACAAGGAAACUAUGAGAACCCUAUGCCCAGUUCGGUGAACUGCACCUUGGAGGUAUAGCAUUGACAGACAUAGAGCAGAUUCUCUACCCUAGGUUACAGGGGAAAACAAACAAACAAACAAACAAACAAACAAACAAACUGUGGUUUAAAAGGGCAAGUAGAAUUUAAAAGAUGCAGCCCUUCAGUAUCUGCAAAAUGCUGGGGGACCUUUGGAAUGCCAUCUGGAAUCAGAGUGGCUGGUGAGCACUAUUGUUUAUGCUCCCCCUCCACCUUGAUAACAAAGAUAAAAGCAGAAUCUGGGCACCCUCACUGGCCUAAUGUUUUAAUGAUUCCCCAGAUUCCGUGCCCAAACCAGCUUUCACCACCUUGGAGCGCAGGAAAAACAAACAAACAAACAAACAAAACAAUUGAUUUAAAAGAACAACUAAAAUAUAAAGGAAACAACCCUAGAAGUACUGUGGGGACAUCGCACUAUUGGAGGGGCUGGUGAGUGCCAUUGUUUAUGCAUCCCCUCCACCUUGAUAAUGCAGACAGGAGCAGGGUACUUACAGGCAACCUAACCAGCUGGCUGCCCUGGUGAGCCCUGGACUCCUAGCUCACAGUAGCCACAGUCAUCCCACCCAAGACAGCCCCCACCACCUACCCAAUCCCCAGCUAUCCCACCCAGGUCGCCCCAGCAUUCUGUGCAUGAGGACAUUCCUGGACAGUGCCCACUACAGCUCCAGCCAUCUCAUCAAGGCAACACAGGAGCAAAUCACCCCAGGACAACCCAGGUCCAUACCCACUUUGGAUCCAGAUGUCCUGCCCAAGGGCUCCCUGCACUGAAUGCACUAGGAACCCCCAGCCUAUACCUGCUGCAGCUGCAGCUGCUCUGCCAGAGCAAACCUGCACAGAAUGCCAAGAGACUCCCUGGCAGCAGCCCUUUUAGCUUCACCUGUCCUAUCAAGAAGCCCUUUUUAUGGAGUGCCCUGGGACCUUCCACCCUGCACCCAGUUCACCUCUAGCCAUCCCACCAGGCAGCCUCUGUGUGGACUUUCCUGGGUCAUCUCACUUGUGCCUUCUACAGUUCCAGCCAGGCAACAAAAGCUGCUAAACCAACACUAUCUACACACGGCCAGUCAUUCAAGACUAGGAGAAAUAACUGGUCCAUGUAAUUAAUAGAAACAAACAAAGUCAAAUAAAAUGAGACAUAGGAAUAUGCUCCAAAGGAAAGAAAGAGACAAAAUUUUAGAAAAUAACUAAAUGAAAUGGAGUUAAACGAUCUCUCUAAUAAAGAGUUCAAAGUAAUGGUCAUAAAAAUGGUCAUUGGAUUGGAGAGAGGAGUGGAUGAACUCAGUAAGAACUUCAAAAAAGCGAUAGAAAGUAUUAAAAAGAACCAAUCAGUUGAAGAAUACCAUAUCUGAAAUGAAAAAAAAUCCACUACAUGGAAUUGAUAGAUUAGAAGAUAUAGAAGUACAGACUAGGAAUCUGUAAGAGAGAGCUCUGGAAAGUGACCAAACUGAACAGCAAAAAUGCAAAAAAAAAAAAAAUUAAAAAUGAGGAAAGUUUCCUUCUGAGACAGCAUCAAGUGUAUUAAUAUUCUAAUUAUACAAGUUCCAGAAGGAGAAGUGAGAGAGAAAGGGGCAGAAAGCUUAUUUGAAGAAAUAAUGGCUGAAAACUUCCAUAGUCUGGAGAAAGAAACAUGAUAUCCGGGUCCAGGAAGCAUGUAUAUCUCUAAAUAUGGUGAAUGGAAGGAGGUCCACACCAAGAUACAUAAUAAUUAAAAUGUCAAAUAUUAAAGAUAAAGAGAGCAAGGGAAAAAGUAGCAAGGGAAAAAUCAACUAGUUACAUAAAAGGAAAACACCAGAAGGCUAUCAGGUGAUUUAUACAGCAGCAGCUUUGCACUUGAGAAGGCAAUGACAUGAUAUAUUCAACGUGCAAGAAGAAAAACCUGCAACUAGUAAUACCCUACCCAGCAAAGUUACAUUCAGACCUGAAGGAGAGAUAAUUUCCCAGACAAACAAAAGCUAAUGAAGUUUAUCCCCACUGAACCUGUUUUAGAAAAAAAAAAAAAACAACAACUCAUUAUUUAUUUAUUUUUAAAGGCACUUCAUUAAGUGGGAAAAGGGAAACAUCAUAAUUAAAAGAAAAAAAUUUAAAAAUCAUGAGUAAAAGCAAACAUACAAUGAGAAUAUUAGAUUAGUCACUUAUAAAACUAGUGUGAAGGUUAAAAAAACAAAAGCAGUAAAAUUAAUUAUAUAAACAAAUACUUCAGGGAGUCAAAAAAUUUAAAAAAUAUAUAUAAAAUAUAUACAUAAAAACUGGAGAGAGGAGUAGAAAUGCAGUACUUUUAGAAUGUGUUUGAACUUAAGUGACCAUCAACCUAAUAAUAGACUACUAUAGAGGUGGAGCCUGAGAAGAUGACAGAGUAGUGGGACCCUAAGCUCACCUUGUCCCAUGGAUACAACUAGAUAACACUCAAGUGUAAAUAACCCAGAAAACAACCUGAAGACUGGCAGAAUAAACACUGCAGUGAAGGGUAAAGAGGCAACAUCAAGGAAGGUAGGGAACUUGGAGACAUGGUUUGGCUGCAAAAUGGCCCUUGGCCAUCUGCAGAUGGAGGGAGCCUUGGGAUUCAAGAGGGGAGAGAUAUAGAUUAUCACAUUGUGGAGUCCACACUGGGAAGAAAAAUUCCCACGGCUUUGAAAUCGUGAAGGACCAAAUUUCAUGAGUUCUUAAAACCAGCAGGACUCAAAAGCCUAGAGUUUUAAAAAUCAGUGGGAUUGGCUCUGGGAGAGCAGGCAGGAAAGAGGAAGUUGUGUCUCUACCCUUACAGAGCACAACAAACAGACCCUAGAGGUCCAACCUAGAAGCAGCUGUUUGAAAAACACCUGGGGAAUACAGGAGGGAGAGUUACUUACUGAACUUAGACUCUGUCCCAGAGAGACAGGGACUGCUGGUGGACUUCUGCAGGAAAAAAGGAGCUAACAGGUGCCAUCUCCUUCCCCCACUCCCCAACAUAAAUACACUGCCACUAGCAGGAACCAGCCUGUCACCAUUACUACCUAACUUGCUUAUAUCUAACCCUGUACCUUUCCCUGUGGUGGCCCUGCUCUUCCCAGUCACCUUUCCUUCAGUCAUGUUGCUAGAAGUCCUUUAACCAGACUAGUGCAGACCUUGUCAACACCAUGUCUCCCAACCACAUGUUUUAUGGGGCCUUGGUCCUUGUGGCAGUGGCAGCAGCAGCAGUGGCAGGCCAUGUAGAAGCUUGAGGUGCACCUAGAUAAAAUUGUGUGCUGUGCCAGCUUUGCACACUUUCUGGGUGAAUCCAGGGUGGCCAAAGUUCUGGGGGUGACAGCAGAUCUCAUUUCACAAGCAGAUCAGAGUGCACCUUGUUAAAAUGGCAUGCCCCACCCUGCCCUGGGACCAAACCACGACAGGCAAAGAGAGCCUCUGUAUAUGACUGGACUAAAGGAGAAAGUGGACAGGACACAACUGCAGGGCACAUGCAACACACAUAGGAGCCAGCCCAUGAAGUGUCAUGUUCUGGGGAACAGAGCAUAUGCACUGCAGGGCAAUAUAAGUACUCUUCUUCAUACAGCCAUUACCCUCAAGAACAGGAGACAUAUCUGACUUCCUAACACACAGAAACACAGAGAGUAAGACAAAAUGAGAUAGAGGAAUAUGUCCCAAAUUAAAGAACAGGACAGAACCACAGCAAGAGACCUAAGUGAAACAGAUAUAAAUAAUAUGCCUUAUAGAGGAUUUAAAGUAAUGAUCAUAAAGAUACUCACUGGACUUCAGAAAAGGGUGGAGAACAUCAGUGAGACUACUUUUUUUUUAUUUGAAAGAUUUUAUUUAUUUAUUUGACAGAGAGACAGUGAGAGAGGGAACACAAGCAAGGGGAGUGGGAGAGAGAGAAGCAGGCUUCCUGCUGAGCAUGGAGCCUGACAUAGGGCUUGAUCCCAGGACCCUUGGAUCAUGACCUAGCCGAAGGCAGCCGCUUAACCAACUGAGCCACCCAGGUGCCCCAGAGACUCUUGAUAAAGAGAUUAAAAAAUAACAUAUUAGAGAUGAAGAACUCCAAAAAAUAACAUAUCAGAGAUGAAGAACUCCAUAUAAAAUACAAUAGAUGGAAUAAAUAGUGGACAAUAGGAAGGAGAGGAACUUAUAUGUGACCUGAAGGAUAGAAUAAUGGUAAGUAAUCAAGGUAAACAGGUGAAAGACAAACAAAUACUGCAUAAUGAGAAUAGACUUAGAAAACUCAAUGACUGCAUCAAGAGCAAUAACGUUCUUUUUUUUUUUUUUAAGAUUUUAUUUAUUUUUUUGACAGAGAGAGAGACAGCGAGAGCAGGAACACAAGCAGGGGGAGUGGGAGAGGGAGAAGCAGGCUUCCCGCCGAGCAGGGAGCCCGAUGUGGGGACUCGAUCCCAGGACCCUGGGAUCAUGACCUGAGCCGAAGGCAGACGCUUAACGACUGAGCCACCCAGGCGCCCAAGAGCAAUAACGUUCUUAUUAUAGGGUUCCCAAAAGAGAAGAGAGAAAUGGAGGGGCAAAAAAUAUACUUAAAUAAUAGCUGAAAACAACCUGAAUAUGGGGAAAGAAACAGAGAUCCAGAUUUAGGAGGCACAGAAACCCCCCAAGAAAUUCAACCCAAGAAGGUACAUGUCAAGACACAUAGUAAUAAAAAUGGCAAAAAGUAGUGAAAAUGAGAGAAUUUCAAAAACAGUGAAAAAAAAGUAGAUUGUUACAUACUGGGGAAACCACAUAAGGAUAUCAUUUGAUUUUACAGCAGAAACUGCAGGCCAGAUGGAAGAAGCAUGAUAUAUUCAAAGUGAUGUAAAGGGAAAAUCUUCAGCCAUGAAUAUUCUAUCAACCAAGGGCAUCAUUCAGAAUAGGAGGAGAGAUAGUUUCUCAGACAGACAAAGGUAAAGAAGUUUCUGACCCCUAAACCAGCCCCACAAGAAAUAUUAAAGGGGACUCUUUGAGUGGAAAGACCAUAAGUAAAAGUAUAAAAAGUAGUAACCACAAAACCAGCAAUAAGUAUAUCUGUAAAAAUCAAUCAAAAGAUUCACAAAAUAUAAGGAUGUAAAAUGUGACACCAUAUACCCAAAACAUGGAGGGAAGAGGAGUAAAGAAUGGGUUCAAACAUAAAUGACCAUUAACCUAAUAUAGGCUAGUAUAUUCAGAUGUUAUGUACAAACCUAUUGGUAACCAGAAAUAAAAAAAAAACAGUAAUAGAUAUAAAAUAAUAAAGAGAAUGUAUUCCCAAGUAUAUCACUAAAGAAAGGCAACAAACCAUGAAAGCUAUUAAAGAAAGGAUGAGAAAACUAUAAAAACAACAAAAGUACCACUGUGGCAAUAAUUAUCUAUCAAUAAUUACUUCGAAUGUAAAUGGACUAAAUACUCCAAUCAAAACACUUAUGGUGACAAUAUGGAUAGAAAACCCAACACCCAUCUAUAAGCUGCCUAGAAAAGACUCGUUUUAGAUGUAAAGAACCCUACAGAUUGAAAGUGAGGGGAUGGACAAACAUUUGUCUUGAUAAUGGAUGUCAAAAGAAAGCCAGAGUACCCAUACUUACAUCAGACAGACUAGAUUUGAAUCAAAGACUGUAACAAGAGAUGAAGAAGGGCACUCUUAUCAUAAUAAAGGGGUCCAUCCAACAAGAAGAUCUAACAAUUGUAAAUACUUAAGCCACCAACUUGGGGCUACCCAAAUAUAUAAAUAAAUUAACAACACACAUAAAGGAAAUAAUAAUAAUACAAAAAUAGUAAGGGACUUUAACACCCCACUUACAGCAAUGAACAGGUGAUAGAAGCAGGAAAUCAACAAGGAAACAAUGGCUCUGAAUGACACAGCGGACCACAUAACAGAUAAAUUCAGAACAUUUCAUCCUAAAGCAGCAGAAUACACAUUCUUUUUGAGUGCACAUGGGGUAUUCUCCAGGAUAGAUCACAAAGGGGGUCACAAAUCAGGCGUCAACAGGUAUAAAUAGAUGGAGAUCAUACCAUGAAUAUUUUCUCACCAUAAUGUUAUGAAACUUGAAGUCAACCACAAGCAAAAAUUUGAAAAGACCACAAGUAUGUGGAUGUUAAAAAACAUGCUACUAAACAAUGAAACAAAUCAUCCAGGAAAUCAAAAAGGAAAUAAGAAAAUAAACGGAAAGAAAUAAAAAUGACAACAUUGGACAAUGGUCCAAAAACUUUUGGAUGCAGGAGAAGUGGUUUUAAAAGGGAAGUAUGUAGCGAUACACCUUCUCUUAAGAAGCAAGAAAAGUCUCAAACAGCCUAAAUUUACACAUAAAGGAGCCAAAAAAGAACAACAAAUGAAACCUAAAGCCAGGAAGAAGGAAAUAAUAAAGAUGAGAGCAGACAUAAGUGAUAUAGAAACUAAAAAAAAAAACAAAAACCAAACAAACAAAAGAACAGAGUAGAUCAAAGAUACCAGGAGAUGGUUCUUUGAAAAACUCAGUAAAAUUGAUAAACUCUAGCCAGAAGCAUCAAAGGGAAGAGAAAGGAUCCAACGAAAUAAAAUCACAAAUGAGAGAGGAGAAAUAACAACCAACACCACAGAAAUAGUUAUAAGAGAUUAUGAAAAACUAUAUGCCAACAAAUUGGGCAACAUGGAAGAAAUGUAUAAAUUCCUAAAAACAUAUAAACUGCCGAAUCUAGGGUAAAAUGGUGGAGUAGUAGAAGGACAUUAUGCUUCCCUCAUCCCUUGAAUACAGCUAGAUAAAUAUCAUUCUUAACACCUAGGAAAUCAAUCUGAGGAAUGAGAAAACAAACACAGACAAGAAAAGAUUCUUGAAAGCAGAAAGGGGGAAAAAGUCUUUAAGCUACAAAGGAAGACAGAUUAAGUUUGCAGCAGAUCUGUCCACAGAAACAUGACAGGCCAGAAGAGAGUGGCAGGAUAUAUUCAACAUGCUAAAUGGGAAAAAUGUGCAACCAAGAAUACGUUAUACAGCAAGGCUGUCAUUCAUCGUAGAAGGAGAACUAGAGUUUCCCAGACAAACAAAAACCAAAAGAGUUCGUGACCACUAAACCAGCCCUGCAGGAAAUAUUAAAGGGCAUUCUUUGGGGAAAAAAGACCAAAAGCAACAAAUUAGAAAGGAACAGAAAAUCUCCAGAAACACCAAUUUUACAGGCAACACAAUGGCACUAAAUUCAUAUCUUUCAAUAAUCACUCUGAAAGUAAGUGGACUAAACACUCCAAUAAAAAGACAUAGGGUAUCAGAAUGGAUAAAAAACAAGACCCAUCUCUAUGCUACCUACAAGAGACUCAUUUUAGUCAUAAAUGCACCCUCAGAUUGAAAGUGAGGAGACGGAGAACCAUUUAUCAUGCAAAUGGAUGUGAAAAGAAAGCCAGGGUAUCAAUACUUAUAUUGGACAAAAUAGACUUUAAAAGAAAGAUUUUAUGAAUCGACAAAGAAGUACACUAUAUAGUAAUAAAGGGGACAAUCCAAAGAGACCACCAUAUAACAAUUGUAAAGAUUUAUGCAGCAAACAUGGGAGAAGCAAAAUACAUAAAAUGGCUAAUAGCAAUCAUAAAGGCACUAAUUCAUAGUAAUACAGUCAUAGUAGGGGACUUUAACACUUCAUUUACAUAAACUCAUUAUCCCAACAGAAAAUCAACAAGGAAACAUUUGCUUUGAAUGACACAUUGGACCAGAUGAACUUAAAUGUAUUCAGAACAUUCUGUCCUAAAACAGUGGAAUACACAUUCUUUUCAAGAGCACUUGGAACAUUCUUCAGACUAGAUCACAUAUUAGACCACAAAGAAAGUUUCAACAAAUUCAAAAAGAUUAAAGUCUUGCAUACCAUGCAUCUUUUCAGACCACAAUGCUAUGAAGUUAGGAAACAACCAUGAGGAAAACACUAGAAAGAACGCAAAUACAUGGAGGUUAAAUAACAUGCUACUAAACAAUGAAUGGGAAAACCAAGAAAUCAAAGAUGAGAUUAAAAAUUACAUGGAGUGAAUUGAAAAUGAAAAUACAGUGAUCCAAUGCCUUUAGGAGGCAGGAAAAGCAGUUCUAAGGGGUAGAUUUAUAGCAAAUAUAGGUCAACCUCAAGAAGCAGGGAGGUAUUUAAACAACUUAACCUCCUAAAGGAGCUACAAAAGGAACAACAAACAAAACCCCAAACUAGGAGAAGGAUGAAAAUAAUAAGAUUGGAGCAGAGAUAAAUGAUAUAGAAAGUAAAAAAUAAUAAUUUUAAAAGAUUAAUAAAAUCAGGAGCUGGUUCUUUUUUCUUUUAAUUUUAUUUUAUUAUAUUAGUCACCAUACAUUACAUCAUUAGUUUUUGAUGUAGUGUUCCAUGUUUCAUUGUUUGUGUAGAACACCCAGUGCUCCAUUCAAUACGUGCCCUCCUUAAUACCCAUCACCAGUCUAACCCAUCCCCCCAUGCUCCUUCCCUCUAAAACCCUAAGUUUGUUUCUCAGAGUCCAUAGUCUCUCAUGGUUCAUCUCCCCCUCCGAUUCCCCCCCUUCAUUUUUCCCUUCCUACUGUCUUUUUUUUUUUUAACAUAUAAUGUAUUAUUUCUUUCAGAGGUACAGGUCUGUGAUUCAUCAGUCUUACACAAUUCACAGUGCUCACCAUAGCACGUACCCUCCCCAAUGUCCAUGACCCAGCCACCCCAUCCCUCCCUACCCCCACCACUCCAGCAACCCUCAGUUUGUUUCCUGAGAUUAAGAAUUCCUCAUAUCUGUGAGAUCAUAUGAUACUUGUCUUUCUCUGAUUGACUUAUUUUGCUUAGCAUAAUAACCUGUAGUUCCAUCCAUGUCGUUGCAAAUGACAAGAUUUCAGGGUUUUUUUGAUGGCUGCAUAAUAUUCCAUUGUAUAUAAAUACCACAUCUUCUUUAUUCAUUCAUCUGUUGAUGGACAUCUUGGCUCUUUCCAUAGUUUGGCUAUUGUGAACAUUGCUGCUAUAAACAUUGGGGUGCAUGUACCUCUUCGGAUCACUACAUUUGUAUCUUUGGAGUAAAUACCCAGUAGUACAAUUGCUGGGUCGUAGGGUAGCUCUAUUUUCAACUUUUUGAGGAACCUCCAUAUUCUCAGGAGCUGGUUCUUGAAAAGAUCAACAAAAUCGAUAAACCUUUAGCCAGACUCAUCAAAAUAGAGGGGAUUCAAAUAAAAUCAUCAGUUAAAUAGGAGAAAAACAACUGACAUCACAGAAAUACCAAUGAUUGUAAGAGAAUAUUAUGAAAAGUAUAUGCCAACAAAUUGGACAGCCUGGAAAAAAUGCAUAAAUCCUAGAAAGAUAUAACCAACCAAAACUGAAGCAGAAACAAACAGACCAAUUACCAGUAAAGAAAUUGAAUCAGUAAUCAAAAAAGUCCACAACCAGACAGCUUCACAGCGAAAUUCAAACAAACAUUUAAGGAAGAGUUGAUACCUAUUCCUAUAAAACUUUUCCAAAAAUUAGAAGUGGAAUGAAGACUUCCAAAUUCAUUCUAUGAGGCUAGAAUUACCCUGAUAACAAAACCAGAUGAAGGCACCACAAAAAAAGAGAAUGACUGGCCAAUAUCCCUGAGGAACAUAAAUACAAAAAUUCUCAAUAAAUUCUCAAUAAAAUACUAGCAAACCAAAUCCAACAAUUCAUUAGAAAUAAAAUCAUUCAAGAUGAUCAAGUGGGAUGUAUUUCUGGGAGGGUGGUUCAAUAUUUGCAAAUCAAUCAACGUUAUGCAUCCUAUCAGUAAGAACAAGGAUAAAAAUGAGUCAUUUCAAGAGAUGCAGAAAAAGCAUUAGAGAAAGUACAAGAUCCAUUCAUGACGAGUACCUCAACAAAGUAGGUUUAGAGGGAACAUACCUCAACAUAAUCAGGGAUAUAUAUGAAAAACACAGAGCUAACAUCAUAGUCAAUUGGGAAAAACCGAGAGCUUUUCCUUUAAGGUCAGGAACAAGACAAGGAUGUCCAGUCUUACCACAGCAAUCAGAAAACAAAAGGAAAGAAAAGGCAUCCAAAUCGGUAAGGGAAUAGUAACACUUUCACUAUUUGCAGAUGAUACAAUACUCUAUAUAAAAAAAACCCAAGGACUCCACCACAAAACUAUUAGAAUUGAUAAAUGAAUUCAGUAAAGUUGCAGGAUACAAAAUCAUUGUGCAGAAACCUAUUACAUUUCUAGACACUAAUAAUAAAGCAGCAGAUAGAGAAAUUAACAAAACAAUCUCAUUUAUAAUUGCACCAAAAAUAAUAAAAUACCUAAGAAUAUAAUUAACCAAAGAGGUGAAAGACCUGUACACUGAAAACUAUGAAACUCUAAUGAAAGAAAUUGACUAUGACACAAAGAAAUGGAAAGACAUUCCGUGCUUAUGGAUUGGAAGAACAAAUACUGUUAAAAUGUCUAUACUACCCAAAGCAGUCUACACAUUUAAUGUACUCCUUAUCAAAAUACCAGCAAUGUUUUUCACAGAAAAAUAACAGACAAUCCUAAAAUUUGUAUGGAAACACAAAAUAACUGGAAUAGCCAAAGCAAUCUUGAAAACGAAAAAACACUAGAGGUAUCACAAUUCCACAUUUCAAGUUAUAUUACAAAGCUGUAAAAUCAAAGCAGUAUGGUAGUGGCACAAAAAUAGAGACAUAGAUCAAUAGAAAAGAAUAGAAAGCCCAGAAAUAAACUGACAAUUACAUGGUGAUUAAAUUUCAUAUUUAUUUUUUAAUUAUUAAAAAUAUUUUAUUUAUUUAUUAGAGAGAGAGAACACAGGAGUGGGAGGGAGGGGCAAAGGAGAGGGAGAAGCAGACUCCCUGCUGAGCAGGGAGCCUGACAUGGGGCUCGAUCCCAGGAUCCCAAGAUCAUGACCUAAGCCAAAGACAGACACUUAACCGACUCAGCCACCCAGGCACCCUGGUUGAUUAAAUUUCAAUAAAGGAGGCAAGAAUAUGCAAUAGGAAGAAGAUAGUCUCUUUAACAAAUGGUGUUGGGAAUACUGGAUAGGUGCAUGCAAAAUAAUGAAACUGAGCCAUUCUCUUACACCAUAAACCAAAAUCAACUUAAAAUGUAUUGAGGACUUAAAUAUGAGACCUGAAACCAUAACAGUCCUAAAAGAGGACACAGUAGUUUCUCUGACAUUAGUCACAGCAGCAUCCUUCUCUUUGUCUUCUGAGGGGAAGGGGAAAAAAAGGAAAUAAACUAUUGGGACUACCUCAAAAUAAAAAACACAGCUAAGGAAUCAACCAACAAAACUAAAAGUCAGCCUGUUGAAUGGGGUAAAAUAUUUGCAAAUGAAAUAUCUGAUAAAGGGGCAAUAUCCAAAAUAUAUAAAGAGAUGAUACUGUUCAACACCAACCUCCCCCAAAAUAGUCCAAUUACAAAUGGGCAGAAGACAUCAACAGACAUUUCUUCACAAAGAAAACAUCUAGGUGGCUAACAGACACAUGAAAAGAUGCUCAUCAUCACUUAUCAUCAGGUUAAUAAAAUUAAAAGCACAAUGAGAUAUCACCUCACACCUGUCAGAAUAGCUAAAAACAAGAAACAACAGAUUUUAGCAAGGAUGUAGAGGAAAGGGAACACUUGUGCAUUGGUGGUGGUAUAGAGAGUUUGGAAAAUAGUGUUCUCAAAAAGUCAAAAAUAGAACUACUUAUGAGCCAGCAAUCUAACUACUGGGGAUUUAUACAAUUAAUACACAUCUACUAAUUCAAAGGGAUACAUGCACCUCUGUGUUUAGAGUAGCAUUAUUUCCAAUAGCCAAUAUAUGGAAGCUGCUCAGGUGUCCAUCAAUUUAUGAAUGGAUAAAGAAGAAAUGGUGUAUAUAUAUGAUGAAAUAUUAUACAGCCAUAAGAAUGAAAUUUUCCAUUUGUAAGGACAUGGAUAGAGCUAGACAAUAUAAUGUUAAGCCAAAUGAGUCAGUCAGGGAAAGACAAAUACCAUAUGAUUUCACUCAUAUGUGGAAUUUAAGAAACAAAUGAACAUAGGGGGAGUAAAAGAGAGAGACAGACCAUAAAACAGGCACUUAAGAGAACAAAGUAAGGGUUGCUGAAGAGGAGUUCAACAGGGAAUGGGUUAAAUGGAUGAUGGGUAUUAAGAAGGACACUUGUGAUGAGCACCAGGUGUUUUAAGUGAUGAAUCACUAAAUUCUAAACCUGAAACUAAUAUUAAACUCUGUUAACUAACUGGAAUUUAAAUAAAAAUUUGAAACAAAACAAAAAGUGUGAUAUGUUGUGUGGGAGGAUGGGUGAAAUAUGGGUAUUAAAGAGUACACUUACAAUGAUAAAAAAAAGUGACAAAAAUAAGAAAUUAAAGUCAUCCAGUUUGCUAAGUAAGAAGUCAAACUGUCACUAUUUGCAGAAGACUUGAUACUAUAUAAUGAAAACCCUAAAGACUUCACAAAAAAAGGAUUAAAACCGAUAAAAAAGUUCAGUGAAUUUUCAGAAUAUAAAAUUGAUAUACUGUAAUCUAUUGUAUUUUUAAAGAUUUAGUUUUUUUGUGGGGCAUGGAUGGGGGAGAGGGAGAGAAUCCUCAUGCCGACUCCCUCCUGAGGGUGGAUCCCAACGUGGGGCUCAAUCCCAUGACCCUGAGAACAUGACCUGAGGUGAAAUCAAGAGUCAGAUGCUUAACUGACUGAGCCACCCAGGCGCCCCUAUUGUGUUUUUAGACAUUAAUAAUGCAGAACUAGCAGAAAGACAAAUUAAAACAAUCCCAUUUACAGUUGCACCAAGAAGAGUAAUAUUCCUAGGAAUAAAUUUAACCAUGGAGGUAAAAAACAUAUAUUAUAAAAACUAAGAUACUGAUGAAAACAAUUGAGGACAACAUAAAUAAAUGAAAAGCUAUCCAAUGUUCAUGGAUUGGAAGAAUUAAAGGUAUUAAAAUGUUUAUACUACUCAAAGCAGUCUAGAGUUUCAGUGAAAUAUAACAAUGGCAUUUUUCACAGAACUAGAACAAAUAAUACUAAAAUUUGCAUGGAACCACAAAAGACUUUGAAUAGCCAAAACAAUCUUUUUUUUUUCUUAUUUUUUUAUUAUGUUAUGUUAGUCACCAUAAAGUACAUCAUUAGUUUUUGAUGUAGUGUUCCAUGAUUCAUUGUUUUCGUAGAACACCCAGUGCUCCAUGCAAUACGUGCCCUCCUUAAUACCCAUCACUGGGCUCACCCAUCCCCCCCACCCCCAUCCCCUCUAAAACUCUCAGUUUGUUUCCUGGAGUCCAUAGUCUCUCAUGGUUCGUCUCCCCCUGAUUUCCCCCCCCUCGUUUUUCCCUUCCUUCUCUUAAUGGCCUCCAUGCUAUUCCUUACGUUCCACAAAUAAGUGAACCCAUAUGAUAAUUGACUUUCUCUGCUUGACUUAUUUCACUUAGCAUAAUCUCCUCCAGUCCCAUCCAUGUUGAUGCAAAAGUUGGGUAUUCAUCUUUUCUGAUGGCUGAGUAAUAUUCCAUUGUAUAUAUAGAUCACAUCUUCUUUAUCCAUUCUGUUAAAGGGCAUCUCGGCUCUUUCCACAGUUUUAACCAAAGCAAUCUUGAAGAAGAAAAAAGGUUGAGGUAUGACAAUCCCAGAUUCCAAGAUACACUAAAAAGCUAUUGUAAUCAAAAUACUAUGGUACCGGCAUAAGAAUAGACAUAUAGAUCAAUUGAAAAGGACAGGAAGGGGCACCUGGGUGGCUCAGUUGGUUAAGCGUCUGCCUUCAGCUCAGGUCAUGAUCUCAGGGUCCUGGGAUGGAGCCCUGUAUCAGGCUCCCUGCUCAGUGAGGAGUCUGCUUCUCCCUCUCCCUCUGCCCCUCCCUCCUAUUUGUGCUCUCUCUCUCUCUCAAAUAAAUAAAAUCCUUAAGAAAAUAAAAGGAUAUGGAAUCCAGAAAUAAAAUCACUCAUGCAUUAAAUUAACCUAUUUUAAUAGAGGCAUGAAUAUACAAUGGGGAAAUAGUCUCUACAACAAAUGCUAUUGGAAAACUGGACAGCUGCAUGCAUAGUAAUGAAACUGGAUCACCUUAUUAUACCAUAUACAAAAUUAAACAAAAUGGAUUAAAGACCAACAUGUGGGAGUUGAAAUCAUAAAUAUCUUCAAAGAAAACAGAGGCAGUAAUCUGUUUGACAUCAGCCUUGGCAAAAUAUUUAUGGAUGUGUCUCCUCUGGCAAGGGAAACAAAAACAAAUAUAAACUAUUGGGACUACACCAAAAUAAGAAGCUUUUGCACAGUAAAGAAAGUUAUGAACAAAACAAAAAGUGAACCUAUUGAAUGGGAGAAGAUAUUUUCAAAUGAUAUUAUCUGAUAAGGGAAUAAUAUCCAAAAUCACUAAAAAAUAACCAGAUUUUUUUUAAUGGGCAAAGGAUUAAAUAGACAUAGUCUUUUAAAGAAGACAUACAGAUGGCCAACAGUCACAUGAAAAGUUGCUCAACAUCACAAACCAUCAGGGACUUGCAAAUCAAAGCCAAGAUAAGAGAUUAACUCUCACCCAUUAGAAAAAAUAGAAUAAAAAAAAAAGAAAUAACUGUUGGUAAGGAUGUGGAGAAAGGGGACCCUCAUGCACUGUUGGAAUGUAAAUUGACCGAACGAACCACUGUGGAAAACAGUAUGGAAGAUGCUUAAAAAAUUAAAAAUUGAAACACCAUAUGAUCCAGUAAUUUCAGUGCUGGCUGUUGGUUCAAAUAAAACAAUAACACUAAUUUGAAAACAUAUAUGCAUUCCUACGUUAUCACAGUGCAACGUAUGAUAGCCAACUUAUGUCAGCAACCUGGGCUACACCACCAAUACAUGAACUAUAAAGAGUGGGGUGUACAUAUAUACAAUGGAAUAUGACUUAGCCAUAAAAUGAAUGGCAUCUUGCCAUUUACAAAAACAUGGAUGGACCUAUAGGGUAGUACAGUAAUUAAGACAGACAAACGCCAUAUGAUUUCACUUCUGUGUAGAAUGUAAAAAACAAAAACAAAUGGACAAACAAAAGCAGAUACACAUAAAUACAUAGAACUGAUGGAAGGGGAUUGGUGGAUGAACACAACAGCUGUAGGGCAUUAAAAGUUACAGACUUGCAGUUAUAAAUAAGUUACAGGGAUAAAAAAAGUACAGCAUAGUAACUAUAGUUAUCAAUAUUGUAAUAACAUUACUUGUUGACAGAUGGUAACUACACUUAUCAUGGUUAGCAUUAUGUAAUGUAUACAACUGUUGAAUAUGUUGUGCACUUGAAACUAAUAUAAUGUAUGUCAGCUAUAUUUUCAUAAAGGAAAAUAGAGGCGCCUGGGUGGCUUAGUCAGUUAAGCUUCUACCUUUGGCUCAGGUCAUGCUCACAGGGUCAUAGGCUCGAGCUCUGCAUCCAGCUCUUUGCUCAGCGGAGAGCCUGCUUCUCCCUCUCCCUCUGCCUACCACUCUGCCUACUUGUGCUCUCUCUGUCAAAUAAAUGAAUAAAAUCUUUUUAAAAAAUAAAAAAUAAAGGAAAAUUUUUAAAAAGUGAAAUUUGUAAACACAAAGAGACAACACAGGUGUGUAUACACAGAGAAAAGGCCAUCGGAGGACUUAGGAAAUCACCCAUCACGAAUCUGCAUGCCAAGGAUUAAGGUCUCAGAAGAACUCAAACCUGCCAACACCUUCAUGUUGGACUUCUAGCCAGCCUACAUACUAUGAGAAACAAAUUUCUGUUGUAUUUUUUUAAGUGUUAAAAUAUGUCAAAAAUAACCUCAGUGAUAUGGAAACCAACAACACAUUAACAGGCUUCAUGAAGGAAAACAACAGAUUACUAGAAAAGAGAAAAUAUAAAUAUUCAAUUUUAAAAAGGAUCUGGAAUGCCUUUAGACAAGAACAAGUGCUAGGGAAGUAAAACUUAAUAGACAUUUUCUCAGUGACCCUUAUUAAAUUGACUAUUACUUUAAAUGUAAAUGAUACCAAUUUUUCUUAGGAAUGGCUUUCUCACACAUGGGUAGUAUGAGAAAAUAAUGAUGAUGAAAUAUUGGAUGGAAUUUGCUAAAAAUUCUUGACAUUACUCUUGCGUGUCCACAUAAAAUACAUUAUAUUUCAUGUUGCAUUCAUUUUUAUUUUUCCAAAUUUUUUCAUUAUUUGGACAAAAUUACAUAUAUUUAAAGUGUACAAGUGACAUUUGUAAACAUUGUGAAAUGAUUAUUACAAACAUGCUAAUUAACAAAAUCAUCACUUCACAUAGUAACAUUUUUUCCUUGUUCAUUUACUGACAAUUAUAUAAACAGUUUUAGAAAAUUCUAAAAUAUGUUACUUAUGUAAGUUUUCAAGUAACUAUUUCACUAUUAGUAACUAGAGUCAGAGUACACCCUAUUAGACCUCUAGACCUUACAGAACUUAUUUAAAAACUUGGAGCCAGUGAACAUCUUGCCAUUUCCGAAACUGCAAGAAUCUAGCAAUCACCAUUCCAUGCUCUGCUGUAUGACUUGUUGAAAUUAUAAAUGAAAUUGUGCAGUAUUUGCCUUUCACUGUGUGUCAUAUUUCAAUAAAAAUUUUAUACGCCAAAUUCAUCGUCUUAUUGAAACUCACACUAUUUUUCAAUAAGUUGCAUAAUAUUCUCUUAAAUACAUAUAACAUAAUUUUUCAUUCUAUCCAUUGACAUGUGGGUUCUUUGCAAAAUUGGGCUACUAUGAAAAAUAAAACAAAGAAAUUGAGAAAACACAUACAUCUUUGAGACACAGGUAUCAUUUAUAUUUGAUACGUACUCAGAUUUCUACCUAACACACUAGCGCUAUUUUAAUGUUAGAAGGAAUAUCCAUGAUAAUUUAUCAUUUUUCUUUUGAAUCUAUCUACAGAAAACAAGACAUAAGAUGGGAUAAAAAAGAGGAAAAAAGUUACCUGAUUUAGGAUUACUAUAAAUCAAAUGCUUACUAGAGAAGAAAACAAAAUGUUUUCAAAACAAACCAUGGUCAACCACAUAUACAUGCUCAUUGAACAAAUAAACACAAGAUCUCUAUACCCAAUUAGAACAUAAACAGAAAAAUCGAAUUAUAACAUAUACAAACCAAACUCAAAAACUCUAUUCAAAAAGUCAUUAAGGGCGCCUGGGUGGCUCAGUCGUUAAGCUUUUGCCUUUGGCUCAGGUCAUGAUCCCACGGUCCUGGGAUCGAGUCCCACAUCGGGCUCCCUACUCGGCGGGAGGCCUGCUUCUCCCUCACCCACUCCCCCUACUUGUGUUCCCUCUCUUGCUGUCUCUCUAUCAAAUAAAAAAAUAAAAUCUUUAAAAAAAAAAGUCAUUAAAACUACAGAACUGCAAACAUACUAUGUCUACUAUAAAUGAUUCAGCAACGAAAGUAAAAUAUAUAAAUAUAUCUUCUAAGUCAGAAAUAAAGCAAAAACAAAUGAUACUUAUGUAUAGCAUACAAAACACAUCUCUGAAAAGACCUGCUCCAGCAAGGGCUGUGAACCUGGAGCCUGGCCUGUUGACCCAGAUAGAUGGGGACUCCCACACUGGAGGAGAGUCAGUGGCCGUCCGUCCUCCACAGGAGGUGGCCCUGAGUGGGGCCCCGUGACUCGUGACUCGGAGAUGUGUGGUGGCCUUGCCAAGGCCCCUGUGUGAGAGCAAGGGCUGCCUGCCCGCCCAGAGUGGGUGCUUGUGUGAGUGCUUGGUUCCCCUUUCCGGGGAGCCUCCUGGUUGUAGCCCUGUGGCUGCAGGUCGGGCCAGCCAUUUCUGGCUGCUUGGUCGGGUCAGCCCAAGGUGGUGGUGACCUCAGCCUGUA